rnacentral:lncRNA from 1 species
CUGGGAACCGUACGGUGUCUUCUGAUGCGUCGUCCGUGUGGGAGGUUUGGUCGGUCGAGGCCAGGUAUGAGCAGCUCCUGAGCAGGAUGGAUGGAUCUAUGGAUACAUGGAUGUAUGCAUGCAUAUAUGUAUGGAUAUCACUCCGCAAAAAAGAAAAGAAAAAAAAUAUGUAUGGAUAUAUGGUCAUGUUGCUCGGGGGUUCAACCUCCUUUUUGGAAAAAAAGGAGGGGCGAUGCCGAUGAUGAUGACUGUGGCUGAAAUAAUGUCUUGAGCAAUCAAGACAGCUCGGCGAGGUGGGACUAAACAGUGCCAGAAAAUUGGUGUCUGCGUUGGAGUUGGCCUUAGAGCCCACCCUUCUCUCUUGCAGCCUGUCCAAUUCAUCGCCAAUGUUGGAUGUUCUUUGCCUUGGAUGGUCAUUCUGAUGAGUGAUAACCAGGGCAGUUCUCUUACAUGGCAAUGGGUGGAUUAUGCAGCAAGAGAUGUGAGUGUUGGGUUUGAAGAUGAAAUGCAAAACUGAGCCCUCUUUUGCUACGCUACAUAUGCUCAGUUCAGUUGCAUUAUGUUUUGGAUUCAGUAUGGAUCCUCCUCUCUCUCUCUCUCUCUCUCUCUCAAACCCUGAAACAAAUCAGUCAAGCUCUCAUUGCCGACUCGCUGACCCAUUGUCCGGGUGGCUGCCACGUCAGUUCCCUGUCUCUACGGUGCUGCCAGCCACUGCCAUUCCAUUGCCUUGGAUUUGGUUGUGGCGUGGGCUUUGACCCGUAAGGCGUUGUCUGAUGAGUCGUCCACACCGGGAGGUUUGGUCGGUCGAGGCCAGGUAUGGGCAGCUCCUGAGACUGAGACUAGUCAUAGUGGGAGUAACUGAAUUAUGGAACGGAGGGAGUAGUAACAUUCAUGCCACAUAGGCAAAAAAGAUUAUGUGACAAGUAAUUAAAGAGGAUGGAUGGAUGGAUGCGUGCAUGCAUGCAAUGGGAAUCAUGGUCAUGUUGCUUGGUGUGUAGAGCGCGUGUGGGUACUAAUCAGAGCCAGAAUCGGUGACCGCGUUGGAGAUGCCCUUAGAGCCCACCCUUACCUCUCUUGCAGCCUGUUCAGUUCAUCUCUGAUGUUGUAUAUUCUGUGCCUCGGACGUUCGUUCUGAUGGGUGAUAACCAGGGCAGUUCUCUUACAUUGCGAUGGGUGAAUUAUGCAGCAAGAGAGUGAGUGUUGGGUUUGAAGAUUGAAGACAAAACUGAGCCUGCAAUUUUUCACUGUUUAGUUGCAUUUUGUUUUGGAUUCGGUAUGGACCCCCCUCACCUCUCUCUCUCUCUCUCAAACCCUAAAACAAAUCAGUCAAGCUCUCAUUGCCGACUCGCAGACCCAUCGUCUGGGUGGCUGACACGUCAGUUCCCUGUUGCUACGGUGCUGCCAACCCGCCAUUCCAUUGCCCUGGAUUCGGUUGUGGCGUGGGCUGGGAACCGUAGAGUUUUGUCUGAUGUGUCGUCCGAGACGGAGGUUUGGUUGGCUGACGCCAGGUAUGAGCAGCUCCUGAGACUGUCUAAGUUACUUACCACUAUGAGCAGCCUGAUGGAUGGAUGGAUGGAUGAUGUAUGCAUGCUACUGUGUGAUGAAGAGAUGGAGUUCUUACCAGGGGCGAUGAUGAUGACUGUGGCUGAAACAAGCAUGUCUUGAGCAAUUAAGACAGCUGUGGCCUGUGGGUCCUAAAUUAGAGCGCACCCUUACCUCUCUUGCAGCCUGUUCAAUUCAUCGCUAAUGUUGGAUGUUCUGCGCCUUGGACGGUCAUUCUGAUGAAUGAUAACCAGGACAGUUCUUUUACAUCGCGAUGGGUAGAUUAUGCAGCAAGAGAUGUGAGUGUUGGGCUUGAAUAUGAAAGGCAAAACUGAGCCCUCUUUUGCUACGCUACAAAUAUUCGAUUUUACCUUCUCUACUAUGCACUGUUUUUUCUUUUCUAUUCCUCUCUAUUGUGUUGAUGUGACUAACGGCCCAUCUGGACUUGGUGAUGAAGCCAACCGCCCUAGCUUGGAUUGAUUUCCAGCUGGCUUUGUUUUUGCCUGUAUAGUUGUACAAACUAUAUAUGUCGAACACAGUAUUGUUUUUGACUUGGAUAUCUACCUUAUGUUUUUCUUCUUUUCCAAAAUGGAAAAUUUAUAUUGUCCUGUUUUUAUUUGGCUUGCAGUUACUCCUUUUAUCUGAAGUGAAGAAAUGUAAAUUGCUUCUUUCAUUGCUAGUAAUACAGCCAUCAGCAUAGUGUUCCAAAUUAACUUUUGAACACAGCAUAUUUGUUUCUGUUCUGUGUUGAUGAGUUAUAUUCUUUUCUGAAUGGCUAUGAUGAUUUCCUCCUCUUUGGUGUUGGAGAUAUUUCAACAUAUCCUGAGAUAGAGAUGAUUGGUUCCAUUCAAUUUUCCCAGUUAGACAGUUAGUCGUUAUACUAGGAGGCCUUGCUCUGCAGCAAGUUACCAGUUGCGGCUAUUUGUUGCUGGGUGGGGAAAGAGAGAGAGAGAGAGAGAUGGUAAGGAGAGACCUGAAGGACUGGAAUAUCACCAAAGAACUAACCAUGGGCAGGGGUGCAUGGAAAUUAGCUAUCCACAUGCCUAUCCCAACUUGUUUGGGACUGAAAGGCUUUGUUGUUGUUGUUGUUGUUGUUUAGUACCGAAAGGCCUUGAGUACUACCUGAAGCAUUUUUCCAGCUUCGGUGAUUUAUGGUGGGUUAAAUCUGAGCCAUUCAAGCAAUACUCCACAAUUUUCCUGGAUUUUGCAAACUAUUCCUCGUGCACGUGUCUGAUACUUCUACUACUGUUUGAUUAUGGUAAUUUGAUCAGUGAGUACUUUUGGAAUAUACUCCAGAAAACAGCUUGAUUUUCCCUAAUACCUUUAAUUAGUUUCUUCUUGAUUUUAAGGAUACCAGUUCGGCAACUGUGAAUGGUCAUUGCUAAAUUUAAGUUGUAUAUAUUCUGUACAUUGUGGUCCUGUAGCUUGAAAAAGGAACUUGGCAUUACCUCUGGCUUUGGUUCUUUGUUAUGGCUCUGGUUCUUUGUGUGGACCUUCUGGGGAGGUGAGAUAGCGUGAAAUCUUUUUAUUGAACCAAUUUAAAAGCAGAUUCUUAUUGAUGCUAUCUUUCAGUUUUUUUGGUCCUAUUUUCGCAUCCAUUGUCAAAUUUUCUUCUAUUGAUAUUUGCCAUUGUAGUCCUUAACUUCCACUAUGAAUGCAUGCCAUCCUUAUUCCCUUGUAAAGCUUCAUCUGUGAGGGAGAGGCAUCAAUGAGGAAGGAUGCUGGUGGUGACGCCUGCCGUCUGUCUCCCUAUCAAUUUGACUUGAUAAUUUCAUUCUUCUGCUGUACUCUUUAUCUACUUAUCAGUUGGUACUUUUGGUUUCUCGUUACUUCUUUACUGGUUUCAAGUUUCAACUUAAGGGUCGUAUAUGGCAAGUUAAGAUUACUGUUUUCUUCAUGUCAUGUUCAUUGGCUGUGAUGAUAUAGCUUCCCUGCGAGAGCUUCUAUCUAACACCGUAUUGAUUCACUUGGUGCUAAACUAGGAUGGCUUGUGUCACAGCAAGUAACCAGUUUAGCGGCUAACUAUUACUCCCUCCGUUCACAAAUAUAAAUGUUCAUGGUCAUUCUACCAGAAAUUCAGUUAUGGUGUUGAGAUGGGAGUGUAUCUGAGCCAUUUACUUACACAUGUCCCAGUUUUUGUGUCCACCAGUUCAUGAUUUGCUCCUGAUAUAGUGAUUAUUUCUGCUAUUACUGAUUCUCCUGUGGUGUCUGGUCAUCUUGCGGCUCUUUGACUAUUGGCUUCUCUGUUAUUCUCUUUGUGGGAUUUGUGCCAAGUGCUGUUAUGGUGUUGAGAAAUGCUCACAGCGAACUGGAUGUUGAGCUAUUUUACACUUUACAUACUCAGAAUGCUUUGAAUUACUGAUGCAUCGAGAGGUUCUACUUUGUUUGAAUAGAAAACAAUCCUGUGUGCCGAAGGCCCUGGGAGGCGGCAGAGGGCUUCACAUCUUUUGUUCGAACAAUGCUAUUAUUUGCAACUGUUCUGUUUCUUUGCUUAGUGUUCCGUUUAGUCGUUCCUGCAUGAUUUUCUUCCCUUUCAUACUUUUAUAUUGUAUAAAUUGUGCUACGCUGCUGCUCUUCUUCGUUCAUGCAUUUGCUGCACUAUGGCACCUCAAGCGUCAGCAAAAAGAUAUUACAUUUGGUCUUUGAUGUCAUCAUAUGUUUAUUUAGUUCUGAGUCUGCCCAUUUAUUUUUGGUAUAAAUCAUGUGCAACCUAAUCUGCAGGGCGCGUGGCUGUCCAAAAUCAAGCUCCCCAACAACUGGACAAUGGAGCACAUCCGGCAGCUUGUCACGCUUUGGGCUCGGCUGAGGGCCAUCCCCCUCGCGGUGGACGCCGAGGACACCAUCACCUGGAAACAUACUGCCAGCGGAAUCUACUCUGCCACAUCCGCGUACAGUGCGCAACUCCUUGGGCUGGUCAGCUCGCCCAUGGGCUUCGCCGUUUGGAAAGCAUGGGCUCCCCCUAAGAUGAAAUUCUUUGCUUGGCUGGCAAUCCAAAACCGAGUCUGGACGGCGGAUAGAUUGGAGAGGAGAGGGUGGCCGAACUGCGGCCUAUGUCCACUCUGCAAGCAGACGUUGGAAACGGCGAGCCACAUCUUCUUCAAGUGUCGGUACUCCAUUAGACUGUGGGGCCUGAUCAAAGGCUGGCUCAAGCUAGACUACCUCGACAUCUCCUCCUGGAUCACGAUGCGCUCCAUCAAGGACUGCUGGCUCAACAUGUCCAACUCCAGCAUGCCCAACCGGAAGGCGAUGGCUUCUCUUGCUAUGCUGACCUGCUGGACCAUUUGGUGCGAGAGAAAUGCACGGGUGUUUCGUCACAAAUCCACGCUUCCGUCUGUAUUGUUCUCCAACAUUAAGACCGACGCCAACCUUUGGGUAAUUGCGGGUGCUAAGCACUUGGGUCAAAUCAUGCCGGGAGAGUAGUGGCUUUGUAAUAUUUUCUUUCGCUUUUCUUGUAAAAGCAACUCUAAACUCCUUAAUUAAUGGAUGAGGCGAAGCUUUUGCCUCCGUUUCGAAAAAAAAUAAUCUGCAGCACUCCCUUUGUUUCUAUGUUUGCCUCUUUUGUGUUGCCCUCUUUCUAUGCGCCGUUGAUACUUCCAGUAAUAUGUGAUUUGAACUUGAGUGUACUUCACAUGAUCUCCUGUGUAGUUAAUUCCUCAGCUUUCCGUGGGUAACUUUUGAACUGCUACUUUAAUGACAUAUUUUUCGUGUAAUGUGUGGGAAUUUAAGUGCUCGCCUAGAAAUCUCAAUAUUAGAUAUUCACAUGCACGGCAUUUACGUGUGGCUCUGAUGAGUUCUGAUGAUGCUCCGUCAUGUAUUCUGGCGACGUAAUAAUAAAUAUGCCUUGGAGCAGCAGUGAAGCUUUUUAACACGUCGUCUUCCUCUGUACGGGUGUCUGGUCAAAUAUGCUUGGUCAUCUGUUUGAGAUUGGGAUCAGCAGCCGUAGAAAAUGCAGGGCAAAGGAUUUAGAAGGGCUUUCUUGUAAUUUUAUAUCAACAGAUGCAACUGAGUGUGAGUGCAUAUGAGCAUUAAGAAUUACGCAUGAGCCCUCAACGCAACUGUACUAUCAUACAAUAUGUAUAUAUGAUACAGUAUUAUUCCUCUUUUUCAUCUUUGAAACUAGUUCUUGUAUUUGUACCUUUUUGUUUCUGGCAGAGUUACGUGCCUACAUUCUUACUCCCAGAACUUGAUGGCUGUUGUAAAUAGAAGUACACUUGUUCCUCUUGUUGCCGGUGCUUGCUAAACUGAUUAUCUGUUUGAUGAGUCUAGACUAUUUUCUCCUCAUAUACAUGUUCAGUUUUGCUUAACAAAAGGAUAUUGUCCAGUGAUUUUCUUCAAUACCAAAAUACCUAUUCGUACGGACUACGGAAGGUUGCACGUAGAUACGAGAGUGAGCGAGACAAGUUGAAAGAGACCGGGAGUAGGUUGAUAAACUUACUUGCACAUUUGGAAUCGGAGAUAUUGUACUUGUUUACGCUUAUUUUUAUUUACUAAAACCUAGCUCAGCCAAUACUACUCCCUCCGUCCAGAAAAGUUUGUCUUUUUGGGGACAGAGGUAAUAUAACAGAAAUGCAACGAGAACGGCAUUUUGGAGCUCGGCCUCUAUGGAGGCUGAAUUUUGAAAAAUUCAAAAUUCAUACUUUCCGGUUUCACAAAAAUCUGUAAAAGAUUAUACAAGCAUACAGGAUGCGAUGUGUAUGUGUGUAAAAUUUCAUGAUCCAAAAGCAAUUUUCGAAAUGCAACCAUCUAAAAAAAGGUUAAAAGAAAGCGAGUUCACUGCAUUAAGAGAAAACCCCUCGUGUCAUUACGUGUGAUCACAAUUGAAACACAUGACAUGGGACGAAAACCUGACAACACAACAAACUAAACCUAAUAAGUUCCAACGUAGCAUAACUAGGACUACUCAGCAUGCAAGCUGGCCCACCGCAAAAGAACAACAACUCUAAACCACAACAAACCCUCGACAAGUAGCUAGACCCCAUAUCAUCCACAUGAAGUUGUCGCCUCUCCAUGGAUAGCAGCGCAGAUCCUCAUCAGCAUAGUUGUACUACUAGUGUUUAACAUCUCAGCACCUUGGGUAAUCACCUAUUCAGUCGAAUCCUUCUGCAGAUCCGCCCAAUAUCACAAGGAUGCACAAGCAGCAAACACCCUUUCAAAAGGAGUUUUAGGCCAUUUAAACUCAAACAUAGCUCUGUUACGACAAUUCCAGAUCGUCCAUCAAACAACAAGCCCAAUUGUAUAAACUUCCUCAUAUGUUAGAAUUAGACCUAACUGCCCCAGGCAGUUAAUAGUGCCCAAAGCACCUUUUGCUGUAUAGACGCAUGUUCACUCCGAACAGGCGCCUAUCCACAAACCGACGCCCCCCUACAGGCGCCUCUUUCGUAAACCGACAUCCCGAACAGUCGGGAUCCCAUGUAUAAAUACCCCUUGUUGAUGAUCGAUGAAAGGAAGAGUUCAUUCUCAAUCAUUUUAUUUCUUACACGCUACCAGCACGCUCCCGGAGCUGCAAGCACAACACAACACUGAAUAUCACAAACAUUUCAAACAUCAUGUUGCACAGCAUGAGAUCACACCACACCGCCCCUUCUGGUUGAUCACCAGAAUUUUGCAUCACGCCGCAGCUCGAGACUGAUGUUUAGAUAGGCUUUCCAAGUACUCAUCCACAAUGUCCAAAGCACACAUUUCCUUCACACACGUCAUCGACGCAGGGACGUCGAACUGGAAAGUGAGCCCUGAGCUCCCAAACUCCUUCCUCGCCGCUUGGAUGGCUUCUCUCACCGCACAAUGGACGGAUGCCGCAAGAACUAAGGCGGGUUCCCCAUAAGCUGGCAGAGGCAGUGGUUAGAUUAAUUUAGCUAAUGAUCACAUUCAUAUCCGGAAAAAAGGUGAAGUAUAUUCAUAUUGCUUUAGGGAAAGAGAUCACAUUCAUACCCUUUGACGAAAGCACACGGUUCUUGUGGUACCCAGUGUUGAGCACCUCGGCGUUGAACUGCUUCGGGAUGGUGUCGACGCUUGGGAUCUUGUAGACCCAUGUACUGUCACUCACAACCAGUCCAUCGGCAUUUGUUUCGUGUUCUUCAUUUAUGAAGAAACCGACUCCUUGUAUGAAGGAGCCUUCAAUCUGUAAGAUGGAUGGCAGAGAUCAGAUAUGAAUAUAUGAUGCCAUCAUGUACUAUAAUGAAGAAAAACUCUGAUCAGGGCUGCAAUCGUAAUGUACUCGCUCUGUUUCGAAGCAAGGCAUCAUCAAAUACGGAGUAAUAUCCAUUCUUAGUACAGAAUGAUAAAGGUGUGUAACACAGUGGAAAAUAUCUCAGACCUGGCCCAAGUCCACUGCAGGGUUCAAACUCUUUCCACAGUCAUACACAAGGUCGCUCCGUAGUAAAGUAAUGGUUCCUGUAAGAAGAUCAAUCUCCACCUGGACUUUUAGUAAAAAGUGAAAAGGAAAUCAGAAAAGAAUCACAAUAUCUUUCAUAUGUAGAACAUCCAGUAACUAUUGAACUAUGUUAGUCUGAUUGACAUUUAGCAGAAUAUUUUUGUACCUCACUUAUACCAGCUCCAUAGUUCAGAUAGGUACUGGAUUCUUGGCCAGGUACCCAGUAUGUACUUGAGGACAAAUUAACAUUAUCCUUAACGGUCUGUUGGGGAACAUUAAAUUAUACAACGACAAAGUGUUAGCACACAUACAAAUAACAAUUUCCACACAUAAAUGUUUUACUCCCAUAUAGAAUAAAAAACCAGAGGGAAAUAAGAAAACAACCUGAGCAAUCAAAGCAUCCCAUGAAACAGCACCGCCGGAUUGCUGCUUGAGCUUCUCCAUGACUGGCUUUAAUCUGUCAACCAGCAUGUUGCAGGCCUCAAGGGUUGCUGCACAGCUAGACUCAGACGAAGUGCUGCCGGCGGUGAGCCCACCUUGGAUCAAGUUCAGCAUAUCAGCCUGAGGAACACGCACCCUAUCAAGAAGGGAUUCACAUCCAUCAGGCCACAACUGUCCCAAAGCAAAAGUUGUCAUUUGCUGUACUUUGGUCCACAGCCCUUGCCCAAUCUCAAUGCCUCCAACCUCAACCACAAUGGAACCAUCGUUGAGCACAGAAACUCUUCUAGGAGCUGGCCUUGGUGCCACCUUGAAGACGAGGGGCGCGCAAGAGAUACCCCGCUUCCACCACUUGGUGCAGCUGUUGUACUGCCUGAUGGAUUCGGCUCGAUGCAGGUAGCUCGAUGUCGUGAGCAACCUAUCGAAGAUAGAAUGCAAUGUGUACGUAGAAGCUUCGCCUGUGCUUUCUGGAUAGAACAACACAAGGCUGUCAUAGGUGUGGAAAUUCUUCUGUCUGACACUAUUAGCAUCAAGUGACAGCACCGAAGCGACAUGCUCGAUGAUAGCUUCAGCGAUAAAAGAUCCCUGAGCAUCUCCAGGAGCACGCAUUACUGACUUGGAUGUGUUGUUUGUUUUACAGAGCUUGAUGUCGAACGAGAGAGCACCCCAGUUGUAUUUCUUCAGGCCUGAAAUGAUGGUGUCUGGCAUUAUGGUGCUAGCAUCUGGAGAAAUUCCAGCAUUGACUAGUAUGUCCAGGUGCAAGGCUGUGAUUCUCCCAUCAGACUUUAAACCAACAGAGUAAUAUGCUUUUAUGGGGUGACGACCCCAGAUCAUGAUCAUGUCAGUACUGCGGUUGAGAUACAUCCGCACCGGUAACUUGAAUGCACAGAGUGCAGCUGCCGUUGCUACCUACAAAAACAUAAAUUGUCAGAUCACUAAGCACAACACAGCUGAAAUGGUUAAUGUCUUUUGCUUUCUUGGAAGUUGAAUGAAUGGUAAAAUGGCCAAACUUAUGUUAAAACCUAUCACUAGAACCCUAAUCCACCAUAAAAAAAGGAAUGUUAGUUGUAAAAAUAGAUUAGUGGAUUAGAUGUUGCGUCGUGAACUCAUCUUAUGUGAAACCUAACUUAUACACUCAUGUUCGUUGAAGGUAUAUACUAGAAGUAAAAAAAAAUGCAAUUAUUCAUAUAAAGAUACUACCUCCAUCCGGAAUUAGUUGACGCUCAAACGGAUGUUCCGAACGGAGGGAGUACUUGUUAGAUUCUUUCAGUUGUGCCGCAUGGGCUAUGAAUUUCUUUUGUCGCUUUGUCGGGCUGUUGUUUAAACUUGUUAGAUUCCUACUUACAUUGCAUGAUCUGAAUGCCUUCCCACCAAAGCCUCCUCCAACCCUCCUUGUAAUGACACGCACGCUGCUGAACGGAAUGCCGAGGCACUUGGCUAUUGCACUCUGUGCAACCUCAGGGUACUGUGAUGAAAUGUAUACGACCAUGCUGUUAUCUUCAUCUGGAAUUGCUAGAGUCGCUUGUGUUUCCAUGUAGAAGUAGUAUUGAGAGGCAAGUUUCACCUGUGAUCAUUCAAGGUACACAUAUAACUUUGACAAAGUUGCAUCACAACAAUACGAACUUUCAUACAGUUGCUAUGUUACUGAGCAGAUUAAAUGGUAACUAUAAAAAAGAAGAAUCAGAUUAACUACACGGACCAUACCAGAGCUCAAGUUAAUUAAAUGAUAGUGACUGUAAAGUUAUAUAUGUAACAAAAAGUGGUAUCCACUAGUAAUGCAUAUGGUCCAGUUGAAAAUAGAUAAUAUCAAAAAUGAAAUUUAGAAGUUUGUAUUGUUAAGUAUAAAAAGUUCCAUUAAAUUUUCAGUAAUGCAUGUUAAGUAUAAGAAGUUCCAUUAAUUUUUGAGUAAUGCAAGCGAGAUGUUAGAAUGGAAAAGGUCUCAUAGUAUUUUGAAUUAACAUACUUUCGUUGAGAGGAUCUUGUGGUCAGCUUCUGCCAUGCCCUUGCAAAAAUUACCAACUUGUUUUGGAUACAUCUCAGGAGGAACUUCGAAAUAGCUGUUGUUUUGUACUGCUUGUUCUACAGUAAAGAUUGGUGGCUUCAAAUCUUUUGUGUCAUAUUCAACAACAACCUGUUUUCCUGCCAAGUUGGCGUAUCUCUGAGUUUCUGCAAUCUGAAGUAAAGUCCACAUUUUAGGACAUCAGUACUGAAAAAAUACAGAAUAUAUUUUUUCAUUCUUAGAGCAAAAGGUAGCUAAUGCUCACUUGUAAUUAGGGGCAAAUGUGCACUUAAAUAAAUAGUUUAAUUUAACAAGAUCACCUUCGGUAUUUAAUUAGGGGCAAUUGUGAGAACAAUACAAUAUAUUUUUGGCAUAUCCACUUGCAUUGAGUUUCAACAAGCAAUCUUGUUACGAAACAAACAGAGAUAUAGGUGCUCCUACUACACAAAAUUUCUGUAGGCGUUUAAUUAACCCAAUCUAAUAGGUUGUUCCUUAGGGCAUUUUACAAGUAAAUUUCUGGAUAUAAAUAUUAUAUAUAUAUAUAUAUAUAUAUAUAAUUUUUGGAAAAAUGAAUUUGUGAAAUUAAGGUUUCAUUAUUUUAAUUUUUACAGAUUUGCCCCUAAUUAAGAUUUACUUUUUCUGUAACAUUCACAAAGGUUUUUCUCAAAGAAGAAUAAUGAAGAAAAACCCAUUUAUGAAUUGCCUUUAUUAUACAAGAAUUUAUUGCGGAGUGAACAUUAAAAUAUGAAAAGAUAAGUACCACGACACCAAGAGCUUGUCCAGCAUACGCAACAAUUGGGGCACCAAAAAGUGGUUCGUCCCCAAACAUCAAGCUUGACCCAAUAUUUUGCCCGCCACUUGGAAUAUCAUUUGCAGAAACAACCGUGAGGAUCUUCUCUGAUGCUAAAGAAGGUUUGAACUUGAUAUUCUUGACAUAUGCAAGAGGUUGUGUGCUGUAAAUAAACUCUCCGUAAAGGCAAUUCUUUGGAGCAGGGAUAUCAUCUACAUAUACUGCCUCCCCUGCAGUACAGAAAAGAAAUUAUAUCAGUCUGAAGCUAAUCCAAAAGGAAGGAUAAUUUAGAGAGGAAGAAAACUUCUAGAUCCCCAUUAGGAAUUCUGAUGGUUUAUAUUCAUCACAUACCAGAAGCUUGAAGCUCAACUGCAUAUCUCUUAAUCGGCUCACCAACUGGUUAUAUUCAUCACUGGAAACUGUUUCUCGACGUGAAGACAACGGAAGGUCACAAAUAUCAUCUGUAUCUAAAGAACCAGCAGAACUAAUGUUCAGAGUUUCUCCAGAUUCCUUUAGCAAAUGGAGACAAGUAACUGAAGAGAAAUCCAACAACCACACUGACUCUGUAUUCAGGAUGUGAUGUUCCUUCCAUUGGUACAAUUGUUUCUCUAAGUAAUCGAACUACCGUUCAGGUGUUGUUCAACUUUUGUUACUCUAAUAGCAUGUUCGGUCCCAUAGGCACCAAAGGCCAUGUGUAGGUUACUCAACACAAGAUCACCAGACGAUUCAUUCAGGAAGACAUGGCCCAGCAUAGCAGAGUUAACAUAUGAAACAACAUUGCCAAGAGGGCGAGGUGCCGCUCGGUAAGUUUCGAAGAUCACCUUACUUUCUUUCUGAGAAUCUGAAGCCCAAUGUGGAAUAAAUAUGCUCAGGAGCAAUGUACUGGGAUCAAGAGGAGGCUGCUCCAGAAACUCUUCAAAAGUUACCUCUAGUGUUUCUGAAUAAACCUGAAGACGAACAGUUGAAGCAGCACCAAGAAGUAUGGUCGCGAUGUCCGAGGGAAACGGGUAUUUCUGUGCUAGAAUUAUGUUCCCACCAAGGCUUGCUGUGUUGCGGACAAAUGGUGUGGCCACCUUGCUCAUGUGCUCAGCGAGUUUUCUGAAAACCACACUUCCAUUUGCACAUGAUGUAGAUCUAGCUUCUUGCUCGAGUAUCUCAAUAGUUUUAGAAAUUGGUGUAGCUGCUCCGAUUUCAAAGCCACUGUCUUUCUUCCAAACAGCUGAAAGUUCAGGAAUGUCACCGAUGUCAAUAUACUUGUUAUAUAGAUCCCGAUCCUUGUAUCCCUUGACACCAGAACUUGUGUUCCCGACAACCACUUUAACUGUGCAGUCACUAAAAAUGCCAGAGUUCAGCAAGUCAUAAUACUGCCCAAUGCUUUUAGGAUGAUACCAACCCACCCUGGAGACCGUGACAUCUGAAACAUCAGUUAGAUGAAGGAGCGAAGAUUUUAUCUCGGAUUUCAGGAAGUCCGGGAAAGUGCAGACUCCACCACCAAGAGUGUAAGCUGGCAACUUGCUGACGUCGGCGUCCUUAUCACCUUUCUUCCAGAAUAUAUUGAGGCCCAAAUCCUCCAGGUCAACAUCUGAAGCAAAACUUUUGCACGCAUCGACGAUCGGUCGGUAGCCGGUACAUCUACACAUGUUGCCUGAGAAAGCCCUUUCUGCUUCAGAUACUGUCAACUUUGAGAACCCCUUUCGUGGUUCGGGCUUCUUGGACUUGUCAGCAUUGGCAAGAGAAGUGAAAAUAGACAUGCACAUGCCGGGAGUGCAGAAGCCGCACUGAGAACCAUGGAACCCGGACAUUCUUUUCUGAAUAGAAUGGAAGCCAUCUUGUGUAUUUCCCAGGCCUUCGGUGGUGAUGGCUGAGCAGAGAUUUAUGCUGUAGAGCAGGGCCAGGCAUCAACUUGCGGAGAAUUUGGUCACUUCAUCUUUUGUUGGAUUAUAGGUUGCUAUAAGGACUACACAAGCUCCACAUCCACCUGCAAUUGAGCACAGUUAUAGAAUUAGUCAUGGCAUUCUAUAUCCUCCUCUUUUCGGAAGAAUGAACAUCACAUGCCCGUAUAUCCUCUCUCUCUUAUCAUGGAUCUGGAGGGACCGGCCGAACCGAAAGGACUAGAACUUGCGUGAGAACUGAACAAAUAUAGCCACAAUGCAUGAGAACUUGCGUGAGAACUGUCUCAAUUUGGUUUGGAUUCUUAGUUCAAAAUCUGAACUUGUCUCUAAAAAAAGAACAGCAUUGAAGCAUACGGAUCCAAAGUACACAAUGAAAGCCGAUGCAUGAACUGCGGGCGGUAUGAUAUAUGGACCUUAUGUAACCAGGUUCUUAACAAGAUUUCUGCAUAAACUUUAGCACUAGCGCACCCGCAUCGGCGGAGUUUGUAUGUUCAAAACAGGGUCACCAUGACGAUGACACACUUUGAUGUUCGAAUACUAUGCUGCAUCGAGCUGGUGAAAUCCACACAGAAAUCCUCGACGACGCCAUCGCCCCCAGGACUGCCGCCCGCCGACGCGUCCCCGAGAGGGAGGUGGAGCUCGUUGUCCAGCUCCCGUGUCGAUAGUAUUCUGGAUCUGACAAAUGUUUGAAAACUAUAGCGAAAAAUAUUCUGAAUCUGUUUGCACUGGAUGGAUACCGUGAAAUUUCCUGUUGUUUUUAUGCAGCUUUGUUCAAUUUCUAAAAGCUGCCUAAAAAUUCUGAAAUGUUUCUUGAAAUCCGUAGAAAGAAGUUUGGAGUUUGUUGGUACUAGUAGUGAAAGAUGGUUCAAAUUCAUGAAAUGGUUUUGACACACAGUGUGUUUGAUACUUUGGCCGACAUUUAGCAAUCCCGAUAUAUAAUUGAGUUGCGUACACGCAGUCUGAAAUCCCAAAACAACCAUCAACGACAUGUGUGGUGCCGGAAUAUAGCACUUACGGUAGAGGCAAUUAGGAAGUCCCUUCCAACGAUCCCCUCUCCCCGCGCACCCUGGUCUAGAAGCUAGCCCCUUUCACUAUUCUACAUGAUAUAUCUUUUUUUAACACAAUAAAAUCAUAGAUGCGUGCAUAUACGCGCAUACACUCACAUUUAUGAACGCAUGCAUGCACUGUUAGAUAAUAACGAGAAAUAAACGAGACACAAGAGACACGGAUUUUUACGUGGAAACCCUUGCGGGAGAAAACCACGGACGCACGAAGGCGCAAUCACUAUGAGGAGGAGUAUUACAAGCACGAGACGACAUGCCGUCUUAGGUGCGACUACAUGGGGUAUAUGUGAGGGGCAACACAUAGGAGUCGUUGUAGGACAUGUAAACGAGUUGUACUCGUACGCGUCAGUACCAACGCAAAGGCCCACACCGUAUGUACUAUGUCUAGUCCAAUACGGUAGAAUUUGGAUCACAAUUUAACAAUCUCCACCUUGAGCCAAAUUCCCUCCAGUAGUCGAAGAAAGUAAAUAACUCCAUCCAAAUCAGCAUAAACACCUUCUGCGUCAAAGUCCAUUGGACUAGUGUGAAAUACCAACUAAGCCUGAGCAAAGCCCAAACUUAUUGGUCGGAACUGGCUUUGUCAUCAUAUCAGCAGGAUUAUCAUGAGUACUUAUCUUGCAUACCUUCAAAUCGCCUUCAGCAACAACAUCUCGAAUAUAAUGAAAUUUGACAUCAAUGUGCUUUGUUCUCUCAUGAUACAUUGGAUUCUUUGUAAGAUAUAUGGCAUUUUGACUGUCAGAAAAUAUGGUAGGGCAAGAUGAAUCUCCACAAAGCUCAGCAUACAAACCUCUCAACCAGAUAGCUUCUUUGCAUGUCUCAGAAAUAGCCAUAUACUCGACAUCAGUAGUGGAACAAGCCACAAUAGACUGCAAAGUUGCUCUCCAACUCACAACACAACCACCAAUGGUGAAAACAUAACCUGUGACUGACCUUCUCUUAUCCAAAUCACCAGCAAAAUCAGAAUCAACAAAACCAACAAGUCCAUCUUCAGUUCUCCCAAACUGUAAAUAAGCAUUAGAAGUACCUCGCAGAUAUCUGAAAAUCCACUGAACUGCUCUCCAAUGCUCUUUUCCAGGAUUAGCCAUGUAUCUACUGACAACACUCAAUGCAUAUGAUAAAUCCGGACGAGAACAAACCAUGGCAUACAUAAGUGAACCAACUGCACUCGAAUAGGGAACUCUAGACAUGUACUCAAUAUCUGCAUCUGACUUAGGACAUAAAGUUGAUGAUAAUUUGAAGUGUGCAGCUAACGGAGUACUUACUGGCUUGGCAUUAUGCAUAUUAAAACGACGAAGAACUUUAUCAAUGUAUCCCUUCUGACUUAGAUAUACUUUUCCAGAUGGUCUAUCUCUGGAUAUUUCCAUGCCAAGUAUUUUCUUUGCUGCACCCAAAUUCUUCAUCUCAAAUUCAUUACUCAAUUGCUUCUUUAGUUCAUUAAUAUCUGACAUACUCUUUACAGCAAUAAGCAUAUCAUCAACAUAAAGGAGCAAAUAAAUAGUUGAACCUUUGACAGUUUUCAGAUAAACACAACUAUCAUAAUUAAACCUUUUAAAACCUUGAGAGAGCAUAAAGGUGUCAAAUCUCUUGUACCACUGUCUAGGGGAUUGCUUCAAUCCAUAAAGAGAUUUCUUUAACUUACAGACAAGCUUUUCUUUUCCAGGAAUAACAAAACCUUCAGGUUGUUCCAUAUAAAUAUCCUCUUCUAAUUCUCCAUGUAAGAAUGCAGUUUUAACAUCCAAUUGUUCAAGCUCAAAAUCAUGCAUGGCAACAAUACUGAGUAAAGUGCGAAUAGAGCUAUGCUUCACAACAGGAGAAAAGACUUCGUUAUAGUCAAUACCUGGAAUCUGACUGUAACCUUUAGCAACUAACUUUGCUUUAUAUCUUGUCUCAUCAUUAGGAGAAACACUUUCUUUCCUCUUGAAAACCCACUUGCAAUGAAUAGGUUUCUUCUCUCUAGGUAAUCUUACUAAAUCCCAAGUGCCAUUCUUUUCAAGUGAUUCCAUCUCAUCAUGCAUAGCAUUCACCCACUUAUUACAAUCACCAGAAAUAAUAGCCUCGGAAUAUGAAGAAGGCGCAAAAUUACCUUCAAUUUCUUCUGCAACAGAUAAAGCAAAAGAAACAAUAUUGCACUCUUCAAUUAACCUGUCAGGUUUAUUAAUACCCCGUCUAACUCUGUCACGUGCGAGAUUCCAACUGGGCGGAACAAUAGGCUGAUUUGGAGUGGGAGUGACAUUAUCAUCAUUAACGACGGGUUCAUCAUUUGCAUCAACAAUUUCAUGACCAGAUGUAUCACCCGAAUCAAUAACAUGCUCCACCUGAACAGUAGGCUCCUGAACAAUAGGCUGUUGUUCACUCUCAACGUGAACAUUAGUAGAUGAAACAUCAUGUAACAUAGCAGAUUCAUUAAAGAUAACAUUUCUGCUAAUAUCAACCUUCUGGGUUUCAGGAUUCCACAAUUUAAAACCUUUAACACCAGACUUAUAACCAAGAAAGAUGCACUUAACAGCCCUAGGCUCCAACUUUCCAUUAUCAACAUGAGCAUAAGCAAUGCACCCAAAAACUCUCAACUGUGAGUAAUCAGCAGGUGAACCAGACCAUACCUCAAUUGGAGUUUUCUUAUUAAGAGCAAUAGAUGGUGAACGGUUAACGAGAUAACAAGCAGUGGAAGCGGCCUCAGCCCAAAAACGCCUAUGCAAACCUGCAUUGGACAACAUGCAACGGGCUCUGGAAAUAAUGGUCCUGUUCAUACGCUCAGCAACACCGUUUUGUUGAGGAGUAUAAGGAACGGUGUAAUGUCUGACAAUGCCUUCAGACUUGCAAUAAUUCUUAAAUUGCUUAGAACAGAAUUCCAUACCAUUAUCAGUGCGAAGUAUUUUUACCUUCUUUUCAGUUUGUCUUUCAAUCAUAAUCUUCCACUCCUUAAAUGCUGAGAAUGCUUCAUAUUUAUGCUUCAAGAAAUAAGGCCAAACUUUUCUCGAAUAAUCAUCAAUAAUAGUCAGCAUGUAACUUGCACCACCUAGUGACUUUCUGCGAGAUGGUCCCCAUAAAUCAGAAUGGACAUAAUCAAGAAUACCUUCGGUUGUAUGAGUCGAAGUGUUGAACUUCACCCUCUUGUGCUUGCCGAAGAUGCAAUGCUCACAAAAUUUCAAUUUACCAGGCUCAUAUCCAUCAAGAAGACCUCUCUUAUUUAACUCUGCCAAACCAAGUUCACUCAUAUGUCCAAGACGCAUAUGCCAAAGGUUAGCAGCAUCACAAUCAGAAUUCUUUGAAAUAACUGGAGUAGCGUUACCUGAAACGGUAGAACCUCGAAGGUAAUAAAGACCAUUGGUCGAACUCAAAUCACCUUUCAUCACAAUAAGGGAACCUUUGGUGACUUUCAAAACACUAUCUCCACCUGAAUACUUGUAUCCCUUUGCAUCAAGGGCACUCAUAGAAAUAAGAUUUCUCUUCAUCUACCGAACAUCUGUCAAAGUUCUGAUUAUGCCAUCAAACAUCUUGAUUCGAAUAGAACCUAUGCCUUCAAUCUUGCAUGGUGAAUUAUCAAAACCCAAAACGGAACCAACAGCAGUAGUGGAAUCAAAAGUAUUAAACCAAUCUCUAUGUGGACACAUAUGAAAAGUGUAUGCAGUGUCAAGUACCCACUCAUCAUUGGUCUCAGCGCAUCCAGCAAUAACGACAAGAGCAUCAUCGGAACUAUCAUCACGAGCAACGUUAGCAGAAUUUUCACCUGGUUUGUUACCUUUUCUCUUUUCCUUGUUCUGCAACUUGAAACACUCUGAGAUGGCAUGCCCGCCUCUCUUGCAAUAUCUGCAAUACUUCUUGUCUCUGGAUUGCGACCGGCCCCUGUGGCCGUUCUUACUUUUGCCUCUGUUUCCAUUAUUGAAGUUCUUCUCCUUUGUCCUGCCACGAACCGAUAAUCCCUCGGCUUGGGAUGAACUUGAACCAUCAUGAGGCACCGUUAAUUUCAUCUUCUCCUUAGAGUUCAAAGCUCCAUAAACUUCAUUGAGCGUGAGAGUAUCACGAUUGUAUAAUAUGGUGUCUCUAAAAUUGGUAUAAGAACUUGGCAGUGAACAAAGUAACAUUAAAGCUGUAUCUUCCUCUUCAUACUUAACCUCCAUUGCAGCUAGAUCAGAUAUGAUCUCUUUAAAUUCUGAAAUAUGAUUCAAAACAUUACCUCCCUCAGGUAACCUGUGCAGGAAUAAUUUUUGCUUCAGAUGCAUCUUGCUGGUAAGAUCUUUAGUCAUGCAAAUCCCUUCCAGCUUUAACCAUAGAGCGGCGGCAGUUUUCUCGCUCAAAACUUCCUGCAAAAUAGUAUUAUGCAAAUGGAGUUGAAUUUUUGACAAAGCCUUACGAUCAAUUCUUUUCUCCUCAUCAGUCCAGUCCUCAAUUCGGUUCUUUCCGAAACUAUCCAAUGCUUAAUCAUAGUCGGUCUGUGCCAACAACGCUCACAUCUUAACUUGCCAUAGGGUAAACCUUGUGUCACGGUCCAGCGGCGGAAGAUCGUACUUCAUGGAAGCCAUGAGUAGAUAAAUCUGGUAAGCAUCGGGUGUGGACUAAACAGUAAAAAAAAAUCCAAACAGUAGCAAUUAGGCACCAAAGUGCGCUGUAGCUUGACGUGAUAGCGUACUAGUUGAAGUGCUAGUACACUAGUACUGCCAGCCCUUGGUCUUCACGUGUGGACAUGGAACACUCGCCGCUGAAAAGAAUCUGGGGACUUUGUCCACGCGGCUGCUGCUUUUCUUCUGUCGCCUUGAGACUCGGGAGCAGCGGCGGCUAGAUUAAAUCAUACAACACGUCGGCUCGGUGCAGCGGAUUCGUCUCGAUCUCGGUGUAGAGGAAAAAUCAGUAUCCGAUCUUGAUCUAGACACGGAUGAUGAGCCGCCCGGACUCGGCGGAUUGCACGACGCGGCGACAGCGCGGAACCCUAAUCCUCUCGAUCUCAAAUCUCGUCUCUGUCACUUGGCUCUGAUACCACUUGUUAGAUAAUAACAAGAAAUAAACGAGACACAAGAGACACGAAUUUUUACGUGAAAACCCUUGCGGGAGAAAACCACGGACGCCCGAAGGCGCAAUCACUAUGAGGAGGAGUAUUACAAGCACGAGACGACAUGCCGUCUUAGGUGCGACUACAUGGGGUAUAUAUGAGGGGCAACACAUAGGAGUCCUUGUAGGACAAGUAAACGAGUUGUACUCGUACGCGUCGGUACCAACGCAAAGGCCCACACCGUAUGUACUACGUCUAGUCCAAUACGGUAGAAUUUGGGUCACAAUUUAACAUGCACACUAUAUUCCACUGAGCACCUCCGAGAUAGUGAGCUGGCACAACAACCUGAGACCAACGAAGUCUUCACAUGUGCCUCAUGGUCAACGAAAACAUCUCUUCUCACUGAAUCGUCAGAAGUCUGAAAAAGAUUCAGGAAAAUGCGUACACCAGUGUCAAGUUUAAGACUUAAACCCCGAUAGGCUGGUUUCACCACAAGGAACCUAACUAUCUGAGCUGCGGUCAAUUUACUCCAUAGGAUAUAUCGGCUAAGAAAGGGACGCUCUAUCCUCCCAACAUGGAUCAACCACUCAAUAACUAGUACGACCCCAGAGUAAAGGACGAUGAUGGCGAACGAUGAAAAACAGUGGGUAAAGCAAAGUAUGAUGCAGACCGGGCGGUAAGAACGUGAGCUGGUUAAAGUGUGGCGUGCAAAACGGAAACUCCAAGGGAGAUCACUGUCACUGCAAGUAUGAUCAGAACCGAUCGGUCGAUCUGCUUAGCUUUCAGAGACUAGCUUUUCGCCACUCCGCGGCGCAUGCCCUGUCGCGUCUGCUAAGCUAGCUAGCUCAGGUGCCAGGGCCGUCCGAACUAGCUUUCGGCUCUUAAAUUGCAUUUGAACACUUGCUCCAUCCCUGUCGAUUGCCGACACGCAAGUAUGCGAAGUCUACAUUCUGUAUUUAUACUGCAUGUAAGGUACAUAGCUAGAUUAAUGACGUAGUGAAAUCAGGAAACACAAAAUACAAAUUGCAAUCUGUUAAGUAUUCCCGGUCACGCUUUAUAUAUCCGACCGAGCCCACCAUAUCGGCACAUCCAGAUGCAUGGAUGCAUGUGUCAUAAGGUAGUCGAAUCGUGAUUCUGAAUCAGAUCGAAGCUCCGAUGGUACGACCGCAAUCGUAGAAUCUUCGCUGUUAGAAUCGUAUAAGAAACAUACUCCCUUUGUUCCAAAUUAUAAGAAUCAUGGAUUAGGCGGUGUAUCAUUUUUCUUUCGGGAAAAUUAGCCAGUAUCUUCGAUAUGUGCAUGUUUGUGAUGAGUGUGUGAUUUUGUGGACCACAUGAUAACACAUCGCGAUCAAUAUGCAGAAUGAUAUAUAUAUAUACUAGAUCGACAUAAUGAUCUCAGAGUCAGACUAUCGGUCUCCAACAGACGAAAAACACUAAUUUCCUUGUACCGGGAGUUGUCAGGACAGUGAUCGUCCCUGGAUCAUCAAAAACUAAUGGUGUACGCUCGGACCACAACGUACGCAUGUCGACGCAAAAGUCACGGAAAGCAAUGGUACGCAUGAUCGAGAGCACCACACUCAAACCACGUCGCCCUCAAGAAAAGCAAGAAGGAGAGGCUCUGCUUCACCCUCCACGGAGUGCAGUUGGCGGUGGCACGUAGAUUCAAGAGCUUGCUGGCUGGCAAAGCUAAAAGAAUCGUGGAUCAAGAGCGAGCGAGCGAGCGUACGUACCUUCGCCGCAGCCGAGGCUGCCGAGCUUGGUGCCGGUGAAGGGCGUCCUGGUCCGGAUGAACUCGAGCAGCGUGGUUCCGGGGUGCACGUCGCCGGCGGCCACCUCGUACCGCCGCCCGUUCAGCGCGAACACCACCCUCUCCAGCCUCAUCGGUCGAUCUCCCUGAUCGCUCGCCGGCCGCCGGUCGUCACCGAUCGGUCGAUUGCGCGCGGUGAGCGAGCUGCUAGUCUGCUUCUGCUAGUGUAUGUGAGACUGUGUUAUGAGCCGCCUUGCGAUCUAGGACGACGUGCACGGCGAUAGAUGGAGGCGAGCUGCUACCUGGGAGUUGAAUGAAUGGGCAGCUGCGUGAUCUUUGAAUGCUAGCUGGUCGAUGGCUAUUUACUUGCGGGAGAGGAUCGAAACCAGUGUCAUGACCGCGACAGCACGCUACGGAAAGGCGAAGCGAAGCAAUGCAUUUUUUCUGUUGCGUCCGUGUCCGUAUUCCUGUAAAAAUACAAGGCGAGAGACAUACGACCCUAUAACUCCCGUCUCAAUCGAACGUGCAGCCGGUGGCUCACCCAGCAAACCCAGAGCAUCUGCGCCCUCCACCUUAGGGCAAGGACUAUAGGAGUCUCGAAAAUACAAUUUUUCCAAACUUCAAAAUAGUAGAUAAGCAUGUCGCCUAUCUACUAUACACUGUUCAUCUUUCCAAACUUCAAAAUACCAUCUUGGCACCAUUCAUAAUAUAGGGCUCGCUAGAGCUCGUGCGCCAAAGUCACUUUUUGCACUCUCCGCCCCCCUCUCUGCUAUGGUAGAUAGGCGACCGAAUCCCCAACGUCGAAUGCUAGUGAGGCCGUGGGUCCCUCCCCCCCCCCCCCUCCCCCGCCCAUCGCUGGAGGGGGAGGGAACUGCGAUGAACCAUCUUGUAAACCCGUUGAUCGGGAAUUUAAGGAGAGUUUGCAAUCAUCAUGUAUCAUAAUGCACCUCAUAGCAUGACUUAUCAUAUAGUUGCAUGGUGAAAAAACCCUCUAGGUUAACUUUGCAAUAUGUGNNNNNNNNNNNNNNNNNNNNNNNNNNNNNNNNNNNNNNNNNNNNNNNNNNNNNNNNNNNNNNNNNNNNNNNNNNNNNNNNNNNNNNNNNNNNNNNNNNNNNNNNNNNNNNNNNNNNNNNNNNNNNNNNNNNNNNNNNNNNNNNNNNNNNNNNNNNNNNNNNNNNNNNNNNNNNNNNNNNNNNNNNNNNNNNNNNNNNNNNNNNNNNNNNNNNNNNNNNNNNNNNNNNNNNNNNNNNNNNNNNNNNNNNNNNNNNNNNNNNNNNNNNNNNNNNNNNNNNNNNNNNNNNNNNNNNNNNNNNNNNNNNNNNNNNNNNNNNNNNNNNNNNNNNNNNNNNNNNNNNNNNNNNNNNNNNNNNNNNNNNNNNNNNNNNNNNNNNNNNNNNNNNNNNNNNNNNNNNNNNNNNNNNNNNNNNNNNNNNNNNNNNNNNNNNNNNNNNNNNNNNNNNNNNNNNNNNNNNNNNNNNNNNNNNNNNNNNNNNNNNNNNNNNNNNNNNNNNNNNNNNNNNNNNNNNNNNNNNNNNNNNNNNNNNNNNNNNNNNNNNNNNNNNNNNNNUCGUGCGCCAAAGUCACUUUUUGCACUCUCCGCCCCCCUCUCUGCUAUGGUAGAUAGGCGACCGAAUCCCCAACGUCGAAUGCUAGUGAGGCCGUGGGUCCCUCCCCCCCCCCCCUCCCCCGCCCAUCGCUGGAGGGGGAGGGAACUGCGAUGAACCAUCUUGUAAACCCGUUGAUCGGGAAUUUAAGGAGAGUUUGCAAUCAUCAUGUAUCAUAAUGCACCUCAUAGCAUGACUUAUCAUAUAGUUGCAUGGUGAAAAAACCCUCUAGGUUAACUUUGCAAUAUGUGCAAAUCUGCUCAUAAGUGAAUGUUGCGAAGAAAAUGGCAUCCAACUAAUGACUUGGUAUUUUCCCGAGUCCUAAAUGUCACAACCAACACCGAGGAUGGAUCUCAAAUUUUCUGUCUUAGUUUUGGUAUUUGAAUCAAAUGAUAAUUGUUCAGAUUCAAAAAAUGGUAGAACUGUAAUUUAAUUGCUUGGUGGUGAUUCCGUUAAUGAAAAUUGAUAUAUCGGGAUAAUAUGUGGCCCUUAACCUCCAGUAAAAUUAUCAGGACUUUUGGAAUCAUAUUUCAUCUACAUGCAAUUCAGACCCAAAUUUAGGGCAGAACUGAAUUUGAAUUAAAUGAUAGUCAAAUACUUCUGAAAAAUCUUGAAAAUUUUCACAAUAGUGUGAAAUAGUAUAAUUGGAACAUGUACCUACAGUUUUAAACCAACAAAUGAUUAACUAGCCCUUUAAAAUCCAAGGAAUGAAAGGAAUACAAGAAAUAGGAGAGAGGAGGAGGCAACCCAAACCAAACUGGGCUGAACCGGGUCUAGUCGGUCUCCCCCACCUAUUUCUUUUUUUUUCUCUGUUUCGCAACAAAAGAUAUUUUUCUCUUUUCCUUUCCCCACUGAGCAAUGGGGCCCGAUGGGACCCACCAAUCAGGUCACCUUCCAUCUCAUCAGAGAGUUUCCCUCCAGGUCGAGAUUGGCAUUGACACCCAGGGCACCAGCAGGCAACAUGCAAGUUGUCUGGACGCAAUCGUGGCAUCUUCGGCGAGCUUCCCCUCUGCCUCCAUGUCCCUGAGCUCCCCUCGGUCGAUUUGGCCAGGUACUCUAGCCGAUGUCGACGUCGUCCCCGGCUUCGGCGGACACCUCCACGGUCCCUUUGUCGCCACCUUCUUCCCCAAGCUCACCUCUGCUCGUCUGAGCCUUGAGCUUUGACGCAUCCUCUCGGCCAAGAUCACUUCUGCUCGUCUUCGACGACGCCUACUGUCGCACGCUCGGGAUCCGCCGGCCGCCCCGAAGGCCAGAGCAUGCAGCGCUGGCCAUCGAACAACCGGAUCACCUGUAGCUCCUGUAAGUCCACGACCUCAACGCCACGGAGGCCAUAGCAGCGGAGCAGGACCCGAGCCGCCGCCUAUGACCCCCAUACACCGGCGACACGACAGCUAGCCAUGUCCUCCCUGGCUCGGCGUCGCCCCGGCUCUGCCUCGGACGGUGCCUCGCCAUCCUCUUCUCUUCGCAAAUCGAGUGACGCAAGUUUCAUUUUCAGACAACUUGCAAAUAGCAAACAUGGAUUACUAUUUAUAAACAUGCAUUUCAAAUGCAGGUAUGCCUUCAGGUUCAGUCUGGAAUUAUCAAUGCAAGUCUCAACCCAGAAUUAUUACAAAAGUGUGCAAGCACAACACUGAAUGUUAUAAACAUUCCGAACAACAUGUAUGCAAUUUACCAUUCAACGUCACGCAACACGAACAAACCACACCGCUCCUUCCGGUUGACAGUACCCCAUUCUUGUAUCAUGCCGCAGCUCGAGACUGAUGUGCAGAUAGGCUUUCCAAGUACUUAUCCACGAUGUCCAAACCACACAUUUCCUUCACGUGUGUCAUCGGUGCAGGGACGUCGAGCUGGAACGUGAGCUCUGAGCUUCCAAACUCCUUCCUUGCCGCUCGGAUGGCCUCUCUCACCGCGCAAUGGACCGACGCUGCGAGAACCACGGCAGGCUCCCCAGAGGCUGGCAGAGGCAGACUAGUUAAAUCACUUUAACCAAUGAAAAAUUUCAGUUGGCAAAAUAGUAAAACUAUAUUCAUGUUGCUUCAGUUCAGGGGAAGCACAGUCCUACUACACACCUUUUGACGAAAGAACUCGGUUCUUAUGGUACCCAGUGUUGAGCACCUCGACGUUGAACUGCUUCGGGAUGGUGUCCACGCUCGGGAUCUUGUAGACCCAUGUGCUGUCACUCACAACCAGUCCAUCGGCAUUUGUUUCGUGUUCUUCGUUUAUGAAGAAACCAAUUCCUUGUAUGAAGGAGCCUUCAAUCUGUAACAUGGAUGGUAGAGAUCAGAUAUGAAUAUAUGAUGCCAUCAUGUACUAUAAUGAAGAAAAACUCUGAUCAGGGCUGCAAUAUAAUGUACUCGCUCUGUUUCGAUGUAAGGCAUUAUCAAAUAAUAUCCAUGUUCACUACUCCCUCCGUUCUUAAAUAUAAGUCUUUCUAGAGAUUACACUAUGGACUACAUACGGAUCAAAAUGAGUGAAUCUACACUCUAAAAUGUGUCUAUAUACGUCCGUAUGUAGUUUGUAGUGGAAUCUCUAAAAAGACUUACAUUUAGGAACGGAGGGAGUACAAAAUGAUAAAAGAAGAGCACAGCGCAGUGGAAAAUAUCUCAAACCUGGCCCAAGUCCACUGCAGGGUUCAAACUCUUUCCACAGUCAUACACAAGGUCACUCCGUAGUAAAGUAAUAGCUCCUGUAAGAACAUCAAUCUCCACCUGAAUUUUCAGUAAAAAGUGAAAAUGAAGUCAGAAAAGUAUCACAAUAUCAUACAGUAACUAUUGAACUAUGCUAGUGUGAUUGACAUUUAGCAGAACAUUUUUGUACCUCACUUAUAGCAGCUCCAUAGUUCAGAUAGGUGCUGGAUUCUUGGCCAGGUACCCAGUAUGCACUUGAGGACAAAUUAACAUUAUCCGUAAUGGCCUAUUUGGGAAAGUGUGAGCACGUAUAAAGAUAAAAAAUUCCACACACAAAUAUUUUACUCUUAUGUAGCAUAAAAAUCCAGAGGGAAAUAAAAAAAUAACCUGAGCAAUCAAAGCAUCCCAUGAAACAGCGCCACCGGAUUGCUGCUUGAGCUUCUUCAUGACUGGCUUUAAUCUCUCAACCAGCAUGUUGCAGGCCUCAAGGGUUGCUGCACAGCUAGAUUCAGACGAAGUGCUGCCAGCAGUGAGUCCACCUUGAAUCAAGUUCAGCGUGUCAGCCUGAAGAAGGCGCACUCUAUCAAGAAGGUAUUCAGAUCCAUCAGGCCAUAACUGUCCCAACGCGAAAACGGUCAUCUGCUGUACUUUGGUCCACAGUCCCUGCCCAACCUCAAUACCUCCAACCUCAACCACAAUGGAACCGUCGUUGAGCACAGAAACUCUUCCAGGAGCUGGCCUUGGUGCCACCUUGAAGAUGAGGGGCGCACAAGAGAUACCCCUCUUCCGCCACUUGUUGCAGUUGUUAAAAUGCUUGAUGGAUUCAGCUCGAUGCAAGUAGCUUGACGUCGUGAGUAAUCUAUUGAAGAUAGAAUGCAAUGUGUACGUCGAUGCUUCGCCUGCGCUUUCUGGAUAGAACUGCACAAGACUGUCAUAGGUGUGGAAAUUCUUCUGCCUGACAGUAUUAGCAUCAAGCUUCAGCACUGAAGCGACAUGCUCGAUGAUGGCUUCAGCAAUAAAAGAGCCUUGCGUAUCUCCAGGAGCACGCAUUACUGACUUGGAUGUGUUGUUUGUCUUACAGACCUUGAUGUCAAACGAGAGAGCACCCCAGUUGUAUUUCUUCAGGCCUGACAUCAUAGUGUCUGGCAUUAGGGGGCUCGCAUCUGGAGAAAUCCCAGCGUUGAUUAGAAUGUCCAGGUGCAAGGCUGUGAUUCUUCCAUUGGACUUGAAACCAACAGUGUAAUAUGCUUUUAUGGGGUGUCGACCCCCGAUCAUGAUCAUGUCAGUACUGCGGUUGAGAUACAUCCGCACCGGGCGGCGUAACUUGAAGGCACAAAGUGCAGCUGCCGUUGCUACCUGCAAAAGCAUAUAUUGUUGGAUCACUGAGUAGCAAUAGCUGAAAUGGUCAAUGUUUCGGCUUUCUUGGAAGCUGAAUGAAUGGUAAAAUGAAGCUCAAAUGGGCAAACUUAUGUUAGAAGCUAUCACUAGAACUCCAAUCUACCAUACAAAAUAGCAAUUAUUCAUAAAAUGCAAUAUCCAAAAAGUACUGUUAGAUUCAUUCAGUUGUAACACACAAGCUUUGAAUUUGUUGCCACUCUGUUGGACUGUUGUUCAAAAUUGUUUGAUCUUACUUACAGUGUAUGAUCUGAAUGCCUUCCCACCAAAGCCUCCUCCAACCCUUCUUGUAAUGACACGCACAUUGCUGAAUGGAAUGCCGAGGCACCUUGCUAUGACACUCUGUGCAAGCUCAGGGUAUUGUGAUGAACUGUAGACCACAAUAGUGUUAUCUUCAUCUGGAAUCGCAAGUGCUGUUUGUGUUUCCAUGUAGAAGUAGUACUGAGAGGCAAGUUUCACCUGCGACCAUCGAGGUCAUACAUAUUAAUGCAUGUUGAAAACAGAGACCAUCGAAAAUCAAAUUUAAACGUUUGCGUUGUUAAGUAUAAAAACUUCCAUUCACUUUUGAGCAAUGCAGGUGAGAUGUCAGUAUGAAAAGGUCUCACGGUGUGUAGAAUUAACAUACUUCUGUUGAGAGGAUCUUGUGAUCAGCUUCUGCCAUGCCCUUCGAGAAAUCACCAACUUGUUUUGGAUACUUCCCAGGAGGAACUUCGAAAUAACUAUUGUUCUGUACUGCCUGUUCUACAGUUAAGAUGGGUGGCUUCAAAUCUUUUGUGUCAUAUUCAACAACGACCUGUUUGCCUGCCAAGUUGGCAUAUCUCUGAGUCUCUGCAAUCUGAGGUAAAGUACACAUUUUAGUGACAUCAGUAAUGAAGAAGUACAAAAUAACAAACUUUUGUAAUAAGUUUUUGAUUCUUAGAGAAAAUGGUAGCUAAUGCUUACUUGUAACCAGGGGAAAUUUUGCACUAAUUAUUAAUUAGUUUAAUUUUAAAAUAUUACUCAUGGUGUUUAAAUUAAAUACAUUCAUAUUAUGAUAAAAUGUGACAUCAAUAUAGUGUAUUUUUUGCAUAUCCACUUGCGUUCACAUUUAGUAAGCAAUGUUUUAAUGAAAGAAAAGAGAUACAAGCUCACCGCAGAAAAUUUCCAUGAGCUUUUAAUUAACCCAAUCUAAUACGGGUUUUCUUAGGGUAUUUUACAAAAGAAAUUUAUGAUAUACAUAUAUAGAUAUAUUUUUUGGAUGAACAACUGUGUGAUAUUAGGGUUUAUUAUUUUAAUUUGUAUGGAUUUGCCCCUCCUAAUUAAAAAUUAAUUCUUCCUUACAUUCAUAGACUUAUUUUGCAGAGAGAAAUAGUGAAGAAAUCCCAUUUAUAAAUUGACUUCAUUAUACAAGAAUUUAUUGUUGAGUAAACAUUAAAAAUAUGAAAGAUAAGUACCACGACACCAAGAGCUUGUCCAGCAUACUCAGCAACUGGAGAACCAAAAAGUGGUUCAUCCCCAAACAUGAAGCUUGAUCCAAUAUUUUGCCCUCCACUUGGAAUAUCCUUCGCGGAAACAACUGUGAGGACCUUCUCUGAUGCUAAAGAAGGCUUGAAUUUGAUAUUCUUGACAUAUGCAAGAGGCUGUGUGCUGUAAAUAAACUCUCCAUAGAGGCAAUUCUUUGGAGCAGGAAUAUCAUCUACAUAUACUGCCUCCCCUGCAGUACAGAAAAGAAAUUCUAUCAGCCUAAACAUAAUCAUAAAGGAAGGAUAAUUUGGAGAGGAAAAGAAUAUGUAGAGCCCACUAAUAAUUUUGAUGAUGUAAGCUUAUUAAACACAUACCAGAAGCUUGAAGCUCAACUGCAUACUUUUUAAUCGGCUCACCAACUGGUUUAUGAUCAUCACUGGAAACAGUGUCUCGACGUGAAGACAAUGGAAGGUUACAGGGAUCAUCUGUAUCUGAAGAACUAGCAUAACCAAUGCUUGCAGUUUUUCCAGGCCCUUUGAUUCCUUUAGCAAAUGGAGACAGGAAACUGAAGAGAAAUGCAACAGCCACACUGAUUCUGUAUUCAGCAUGUGAUGUUCCUUCCAUUGGUACAAUUGUUUCUCUAAGUAACCGAACUGCUUCAAGCACAACAGAUGGAGUGAGCACUUCUCCAUUCAGGUGUUGUUCAACUUUUGUUGCUCUAAUAGCAUGUUCCGUCCCAUAGGCACCAAAGGCCAUGUGUAGGUUACUCAGCACAAGAUCACCACAUGAUUUCUGGGAGACAUGGCCCAACAUAGCAGAGUUAAUAUAUGAAACCGCAUUGCCAAGAGGGCGCGGCGCUGCUCGGUAAGUUUCGAAGAUCACCUUACUUUCUUUCUGAGAAUCUGAAGCCCAAUGUGGAAUAAAUAUGCUCAGGAGCAAUGUACUGGGAUCACUAGGAGGCUGCUCCAGAAACUCUUCCAAAGUAACCUCUAGUGUUUCUGAAUAAACCUGAAGACGAACAGUUGAAGCAGCACCGAGAAGUAUGGUCACGAUGUCCGAGGGAAAAGGGUAUUUCUGUGCUAGAAUUAUGUUCCCACCAAUGCUUGCCGUGUUACGGACAAACGGUGUGGCCACCUUGCUCAUGUGCUCGGCGAGUUUUCUGAAAACUACACUUCCAUUUGGAGAUGAUUUAGACCCGGCUUCUUGCUCAAGUAUCUCGGUGGUCUUAGAAAUUGGUGUAGCUGCUCCAAUUUCAAUGCCACCGUCUUUCUUACAAAUAGCUGAAAGCUCUGGAAUGUCACCGAUGUCAAUAUACUUGUUAUAUAGAUCCUGAUCCUUGUAUCCCUUUACACCAGAACUUGUGUUCGCGACAACCACUUUAACUGUGCAGUCACUGAACAAGCCAGAGUUGAGCAAAUCAUAAUAUUGCUCGAUGCUUUUAGGAUGAUACCAACCCUCCCUGGAGACCGUAACAUCCGAAUCAUCAUUUAGAUGAUGAAGCGAAGAUUUUAUCUCGGAUUUCAGGAAGUCUGGGAAAGUGCAGACUCCGCCGCCAAGAGUGUAAUCUGGCAACUUGCUAACGUCGGCGUGCUUAUCACCUUUCUUCCAGAAUACAUUGAGGCCCAAAUCCUCCAGGUCAACAUCUGAAGCAAAACUUUUGCAUGCAUCAACGAUUGGACGGUAACCAGUACAUCUACACAUGUUGCCUGAGAAAGCCUUUUCUGCUUCGGACACCGUCAACUUUGAGAACCCUUUUUGUGGUUGAGGCUUCUUGGAUUUGUCGGCAUUGGCAAGAGAGGUGAAAAUAGACAUGCACAUGCCAGGAGUGCAGAAGCCACACUGGGAAGCAUGGAAUCCAGACAUCCUCUUCUGGAUGGAAUGGAAGCCAUCUUUGGUAUUUCCCAGGCCUUCGGUGGUGAUGACUGAGCAGAGAUUUAUGUUGUAGAGCAGAGUCAGGCAUGAACUCGCAGAGAAUUCAGUGACCUCAUCUUUUGUUGGAUUGUAAGUUGCUAUAAGGACUACACAAGCUCCACACCCACCUGCGAUAGAGCACAAUGGUACAGUUAUUCAUGGGAUGCUAUAUCCACCUCUUAUCGGGACAAAAUAAACAUAACAUUGAUCUGGAGGAACUGGCCGAACCGAAAGAACCAGGCCUUAUGUGGAAACUGAAGAAAUAUAACCAAAUUUACUGCUACUAAUUUAUCCCAAUUUGGUUUGGAUUCUUCUUCCACAAUCUGAACGCCCAGGUAAACAAAAACAAUGACAACAGUGAAUCAUCCGGAUGGAAACGUAUACACGAUGAAUGCCGAUCCACAACCUAUGGGCGGUAUGAACCUUGUACUACCAGAUUAUAUAAAAUAUUUGCAUAGGAGUAAACACACUAUUAGUACAUGAACUUGCCAGGGGUGUUCAAUUUAGUACGUCAGCUUGGAAACCGGUCAAUUUCAGAAGUGAAACCUAUUGAUGCAUAGCAAAGCAUACGUGGAAAUCAUCCAGAAAAAUCCAGAGGUGCAGAGACCCUCACCGCCCUUGUCGCGCAGGACCUGUGGUGCGCCAGCGGCAUGUGAGGCCGCGUCCUCUCGCUUCACCCUCUGGAUCGCCUCCGGCCAUGGCUUGGGUCGGCGACGGAGAGGCGGGGCAAAGAAAUGGUAAGAGAUUGGAGAGCGAGGGGGGCGAGGACGCGAUGGGAGACGGAAAGGGGCGACACGGUGGCUCGACGGAGAUGCCGCCGGAAUUGGGGAAGACGUGCGGCGGCAAAGCAGAACUAGGGAUUGGAGGGCCGAUUUGAGAUUUUUUGGUACCGUGUUUACUCUCAGAGGUAUGAGGGGCUCUUUUGCAAGAUUACUGCGAUUUUGUCAAAUAUCGCUAUGGUUGUUGGGUCUGUUUUUAACGUAACAUCACUAACAAAUUAUGUUAAAAAAACAUCACUAACAAAUUUACGCAUUCCGUGUAUUUUACUCUUUUCAUAAACUUUUGCAUCAUUGCAUUAGCAUCCGCAGAGAUUGUAAUAAUGAUAUUUGUGUCUAAACCAGGGAUCCCGUGAUCUUAAAAAAAACAUAUUUCAUCGGGCUGGUGUAAUCCACAAAAAAAAAAUAUGUACAAAUCAAGCCGAAUUUUGAAUAGCUUUCCCUACAUCUUUGUUGAUCGAAAUGCUAUCAUGUCAAGUGCUACCCGCCACUUAUGUGAUUUAAUUGGAUCCUUAGCUUAAGAGAUACUACCCCUGUUUCAAAAUAAUUAAAGUUUUGGCUUUGUCCUAAGUCAAACUUAUUUAAAUUUGACCAAGUCUAUAGGAAAAUAUAUUAACAUCCAGAGCACCAAAUUAGUCUCAUGAGAUUGUUUUUGUACUACGUGUAUUUGGUGUUGUAGAUCUUGCCAUAUUUUUCUAUUGAGUUGGUCAAACGUAGACAAGUUUAAAUUAGGACAAAACUAGAACUUCAAUUACAGACCUUUUAUGUGUUUUGAGCCUAUGAGGAGGAGGGGCAGUUACCAAUGGCGCUAGCAAAAGCAAGUCGGGCGAGAAGGAGCUCAGUCUCAAUUGCGUGGUUGCCAUAAGUUCUAGCAGGCUUAUCGAGCUAAUGAAUUGGUGGAGUGGAAGAAGUUGACUCGCGCUAGAUUGGGAAUAUAUUAUCCAGGUGGAGCGAGCGAGGUGCAAAAAUGCAUGGUCCCACUCGAUGUGGCUGGUGCUCCAAGCCGUAUCAUACUAGGUAGGUAGGAAGGAAGAUGAAUGUCGACCAUAACAAGUUCUAGCUUGGCGGGCUCCUAUACCAGGAAGUGGCGGAGCUACAUUGGGGCCAGUCCAUAUCAUGUUCCUCCUAUCACUUAAGAUUUUUUUUAGCUAUACAUUUACUCUUGAGCCUUUGACCAACAACCCACAGGCUAUUUCCCCUUUUGUUUGACCCGCUCAACCCGCCUAACGUUGGGCUUCAAGCUCGGCCACUGAUUCGAUGACAUCUCUGCAUGGAGGUGACCCUAUUUCACACAUAGGUUGCUAGAUAGCGACCUACGUGUACCCCCCCCCCCUCGCGUGCACCCCGUCAUGUCUACAGGUUAGCCCAUUCUAGUUUUUCUUUCCAUCGAUUUUGGGAAGUUCCUAGAACCUUAACUCAACCAGUUUGUUCUCGGUUUUUUCUUUCUUUUUUCAUUUUUUCCUUUUCUUCUUCUUUUUUCUUUUCCUUUUUACAAAUCCUCAAACUUAUGAUCAAAAUCAUUAAAAUUUCAAAUUCGUGAAGUUUUUUCAAAUCAGCAAAUACCUUUUAAAAUUCACGAGCUUCACUGAAAAUCAUGCACAAUUUUUUAAAUCACAAACAAUUUUCAAAUUCAUGAUAGUUUUUUGAACUACGUGAACAUUUUCAAAAUUCGAGAAUAUUUUAUUAAUUUAAGAAUUUUUUUGAAAUUAGUAAACAUUUUCAAAAUAUUAAAGCAAAAAUUUAAUUUCAUGGUUGUCUUGAAUUUCUUUACAUUUGCUGAAUUGAUGAGAUUUUUUUGAAAUUUUUGAACAAGUGAAAUUUCUAAUAUUUCGCAAUCAUUUUUUGAAUUGGUGAACAUUUUUUAAGUCCAUGAUUUUUUUAUGAAUUGCAAAUAUUUUAUCAAAAUUUGAUUAAAUCCAUAAAAAAAAAAUCAAAUUUGUGUUUUUUUAGAAGAAGGAACAUUUUUUGAAUUUUGAAACGUUUCUUAAAUUAUUGACUUUUCAUAAAUUAGGAGGGAUUUUUGAAGUUUACAACUUUUUCAAAUAUGGGAACAGUUUUUGGAACCCCAAUUUUUCUAGAGAAGAAAAAAAAGAAACGAAAAAAAAUGAAGAAACAAAAGAAAAUGAUAAGGAAAAACAGGGGCGCCCCAUCCCGCCCAUGGGUCGGCCCCAAAAUCCGUUUGGGGGACGAGCGGCGCACUAUGUGCGAAAUAGGAGGUCCCUCCCUCAAUCUGGCCUAAUCUGAAAUCGUUUCUGGUUCCUCCUUUCCGCCUACUCGCACUGCAAAAAUGCUACACCUACGAAAGCUUUGUACGUAAUUAACUUUCUCCACUAACUAAACUGCCCCCCCCCCCCCUUCCGAAUUUCAGGGUGGGCACAUGCCCCCAGUUAAAACCAACAAAAACAUGCCAACUAAAUACGUAAGCCUUCCCUUCGUAGGAGCAAAGCUCUUCGCGCUGUUCGUCCGAACCUUGCAGGGUAUCAAAUAGUUAUAGUUUAACGGCAUUUUACGAAAGUGCUCCGUCAGCCAUACGUAAGCACUGCCGCAUAGGAAUUUUGGUGAUGUGACAGAAAGGCGGGAAACGAGAGAAUGAGAGGAAGAGGACUUCAAAUCUGCAAAGCAUCCGUAGGAUUUCUACACAAAAACUUACAGAUGGUGAUGUUAUUGUUGUACAUGUUGUCUAUAUAUAAUGUAUAUUAUCAUCCGUGCAUGCCACGAGAAAGGGACGUGCCAUCUUUCCAACAAUCAACCACCUAAUAACUAUCCAACUGUGGAGGGUUGACAACAAAUGCGUAUUCGCAUAAAACGAAACAGUGUUGGUUAUGACUCUGUGACAAGGACGGAUGAGAAAGCAGGAACGUGAGCUGAUAGCCUCCGUUUCAACUUUGUACUACUAAAUCUACAACACUUAUUUUAGAACGGCGGGACUAUAAAGCAGAUAACGUGCUCCAAAUUUAAUGAUGUACGCUCGGACCACACCACAUGCAUGCAUGUCGGCGCAAAAUCACACAAGGCAUAAUUCAAGUGUGUACUCGACGACCGACAGUACAACGCUUGAGCGAUGUCGGUCUGCUUUGCGGGGUGCAAUUGGCAGCGUUCGUACGCUCCUAGAGCUAGCAAGAGAAUGGCGGAUCAAGAGCGAGCCGCGGACGAAAUGGGGCGCCCCGUUUGAAGUUGCUCUAAGCUAGCAUCCAGCAUGCGUGCUGUGACCCCGUAACUGUACGCACCUUCGCCGCAGCCGAGCUUGGUGCCGGUGAAGGGCGUCCGGGUCCGGAUGAACUCGAGCAGCGUGGUGCUGGGGUGCACGUCGCCGCCGGCCAUCUCGUGCCGCCGCCCGUUGAGCGCGAACACCACCCUCUCCAGCCUCACAGGUCCCAUCGCCGCUUCGCCACCGCUUGGUCGACUGGCUAGAAAGGGCUGAUAGAUGUAUGAGUAGCAGUAGCUACUCUGCCUGGCAGGCUAGGACGUCAACGGCGAUGCGUCAGUGUGUGUGAUGGAGAAGGUGGUGGGCGAGCUGCUGCUACGCUAUAGCGAGUGAGUUGAAUGCUGGCUGCACCCCUCCGCGUGGCCUCCAGCGUCACCGACGGGGACGGACAGCGCGGCAUGGCGGUGAUCCGGUAGGUAGGUGCACCGUGCAGUGCGAGCGGUGCCGAAGCAGUGCUGUUCGGACACAUUUUUUCUGCUGCGUGGAUAACGAUCCUUCCUUGAUCGAGUUGUGUGGGCAGCAGCAAACAAAAGAAAAUCGGUGGAGAAUCCUUCCUCGGUUGACCCUCAAAAUGGAAGCGGCAAGAGAUACGAUCUUGAGUUCCACUAGAAAAGGUUAUCUGGUGUCCUUAGAAAAAAAAACGUUAUCUGAUAUUCCACCGUCGUCUCUUCCUCUGAUCCUCUCUCCAUUUAGAAAAAGAGAUUCUUCAUCGACGUGGAGCAAGCAAAGCUUGCGACGUGGAGUCUGCAUAGUCUCUUUCUGUGUCUGCCCGGGAAAAGAAAAUUUGUCGCGUCGUCUAUUUCGGAUCAACCUUGAUACGCGUGGAUACUGUUGAGAGUAUUGUAAUUAUUACGAAAGCUAGGAUAGUGUAGGAUAUUAUUCUAUUUUGACUUGUACUCUAAAAUAAUCAUGUACUCCUAUAUAUAUAUAUAUAUGCCCAUGAGGCUUAAGCAAUACAACGAACAUUAUACCAAUCCCCCUCUCUCUUCUAACAUGGUAUCAGUUUCCGGGUUCUAAACCCUAGCCGCUUUCGCACCCGCAUGCCGCUUCCGGGGCGGUCGGCCUCCAUGACCGCCGUCGGGGGCCGUCGCCUGUACCUAGGGUUCGUCCGCCGGUCGUGUUGAUCGGCUGCGCUAGAGAGUCUUUUUCCCGAGCCCUUGCUCAGGGUUUUUUCGCUCUCUCGCCGGCCGUUUUGAUCGGCGUUUUUCUUUUUGGUUUUCCGAUCUGUACUUGAUCGGUUUGCGUCGCCCGCCGCCGCCGUCGACCCCUGUGCGCCUCUACUCCGACAUCGGCGCGACCGACCGGCCUCUUCACCGACCCAGCGGCCUCGCGCGACAGGCGGCCCCUAACGGCCGCCGUCCGCGCAUCUGCCCGCCCAUCGUCCCGACCCGACGACCUCGCGCGAUAGUCGGCCCCUCACGGCCGUCGUCGAUCUACGCCGGCCAUCACCGCCCUGUCCCCGAGUUCAGCGCGCCCCUCCGCCGAUCGAGCAACAGGCUGCCGCUGCGUCGCCCUGUCGGGCCGCAGCGCCGCCGCCCCGUGGUUCUCCUCGUGGCUGCACCGAUCUGCGCCGCUGCUGCGUCGCCCCUUCGGGCCGUAGUGCCGCGGCACGUGAUCCCCGUCGCCGCCUUGAGGCCGUUCCCGUGGUUGCACCACAUCGCGCGCUGCCGCUACGUCGCCCCUUCGGGCCGUAGUGCCGCGGCACCGAGGCCGUCCGCUCCAGGCCGUCCCCGAGGCUGCACCGACCCUCGCGCUGCCGCUGCAUCGCCCCGUCGGGCUGUAGCGAGCGUGGCACGCGAUCCCUGCAACCGCCCUGAGGUCUUCCCUGCCGUCGCCCCGACCUGCCCGCCGCCGUUGCGUCGCCCCUUCGGGCCUUAACGCUGCGGCCCGUGGUCCACCGCCGUCCACGCGCGUUGACUUCCAGAUGAUAUGCGCCCCGCCGCCUCCCGUGGUGCGGGAACGUCGCCGUCCGCGCCGGUCUUCGUCACGCUGUCGGGUUCAUUAUCGCCUACUUCGAGCACCGCCACCGCGCUCCUUCUCUAGCCGCUGCCGCUGCUCUUCUUCCGCGGCUCCACGGCGACUACCUCGACACCGGCGACCCCUGACUCGACACCGACCACGGUGUUCUUCGCACGGCUACCUCGACUACGGCUACACCACCUACGCUCUCGGCUACCUCGACAAACGNNNNNNNNNNNNNNNNNNNNNNNNNNNNNNNNNNNNNNNNNNNNNNNNNNNNNNNNNNNNNNNNNNNNNNNNNNNNNNNNNNNNNNNNNNNNNNNNNNNNNNNNNNNNNNNNNNNNNNNNNNNNNNNNNNNNNNNNNNNNNNNNNNNNNNNNNNNNNNNNNNNNNNNNNNNNNNNNNNNNNNNNNNNNNNNNNNNNNNNNNNNNNNNNNNNNNNNNNNNNNNNNNNNNNNNNNNNNNNNNNNNNNNNNNNNNNNNNNNNNNNNNNNNNNNNNNNNNNNNNNNNNNNNNNNNNNNNNNNNNNNNNNNNNNNNNNNNNNNNGUCGGCUUUCCUUCGGAUUAUUCUCCAGUCUCACCGUCUGCGUCGCUACCGUUGUGACUACGGGGGGAUGUUGAGUAUUGUGAUUAUUAGGAAAGCUAGGAUAGCGUAGGAUAUUAUUCUACCUUGACUUGUACUCCAAGAUGAUCAUGUACUCCUAUAUAUAUGCCCACGAGGCUCAAGCAAUACAACGAACAUUACACCAAUCCCUCUCUCCGUUCUAACAGAUACCAUAGGAGGUCGUCAACUUUGACUCUCAAUCGGUGAAGUAAUACUCGCGGCUGAAGGUAUAACCUAGCUAUAGGCCGGAAUCGUCGGAUCGUCACUAACAACUUCUUCCUCCCCUACGCGUUCUUGUCGAUGAGAUUAGAUCUAUCCUUCAUAUUCAUAGUGGUUCUAGACGUGAUCAUAUAGCAUUUUUUUUGAUUGUGUAGUACAUUCCCUACAAUCCGAGGUUGAGCUCUCACACGUGCGUCACGCCCCUCGUUACCCCCGCCCUCCACAUAGACCGCACAGACACACCUGUCACACACGUGGUUGCCCCGGUCCUUUGUAACAUGGGCCAUGUUGCAAAUCCUAGAUGAGCUCCCACAGGAACGAACAUGUCAUGCACGCGAUGCGGCGAACGGCACGACAAAAAUCAGUCCCUAGUCUUUUCCUUAGACCUAAAUAAAGUUUGGGCUACGAGCAACUACAACUCAAUCAAACCUUUGCGUACCUCGCAUCUGAAUGUGAUAUGUGUUACAUCAGUAAGACCUACUAAGUUUUUAAAAGGAAUUAUGUUGCACGAUCAUGCUGAUAUAGACAUGAAAUAUCGUCGUCAACAUAAUGAUCUUAGUGUCAGAUCGGCCGGUCUCCAACAAACUAAAACACCAAUUUCCUUGUACUCUAGUGCUCGUAAACAUAAUAAACAUUAAAUAGACGUACGUCUUUGGAUCAUCAAAAUGAUGAUGUACGCUCGGACUAAAACGCAUGUCGAAGUCACACAAGGCAUAAUUCUAGUGUGUACUCGCUUUCCUUUUUUGAAACUUUCAACGGGGGAAGAGAGCCCUCAUGCCUCACCUGAAUUUCGUUUCAAAGGUCGCGCAAACGCAAGAAAGAAAAUCUGGUAGUUCUUGGCCGUAGGGUGAAAUCGGAGAGAAAAUUAGUACUCCCUCCGUAAAAAAAUAUAAGAUUUUUCUUUAUAUAGGGAGUAGUUAUUACACCCUCGGAAUCGGAACCAGGACAAAGGGUUUGAGCUCAAGUGGAAGCUCUGAAUUGUGCACUCAUGAUUGGCAGUACGUAUACUACACUCAAGCGAUUUUUUUUUGAAAGCAUACACUCAAGCGAUGUUGCUCUCAAGAGAGAAAAGAAAGAAUCUUCUUCACGUAGGUUCCUAGCUAGAGGAAGCCAGCAAGAGAAUGGCGGAUCACGAGCCGGGGAAUGCACUGCAUGCGUACUAUGGUAUGAUGAGCAUACGUACCUUCGCCGCAGCCGAGCUUGGUGCCGGUGAAGGGCGUCCGGGUCCGGAUGAACUCGAGCAGCGUGGUCCCGGGGUGCACGUCGGCGCCGGCCACCUCGUACCGCCCCCCGUUCAGCGCGAACACCACCUUCUCCAGCCUCGUCGACCCCAUCGAUCGCCACUUGGCCAGUCGCCGCCGCUCGGUCCACCUCGGUGAGCGAGCGAGCGAGCUAACCAGAAAUGGUGGAUUGAGAUGUCUACUAUAUGAGGAGCUACUCAGCCUGGCUGGCAAGGACGACGCGCACUGGGAUGGAGAACGUGGUGGGCGAGCUGCUGCUGGCAGCUAAGCUAUAGGGAGGGAGUUGGAUGAAUGCUGGUCGUCGGCCUCGAUCUGUUGCCUCUUUAAUUGCGUGACGGCGAGUGGUUAGCUGCCCCGGCGACUCGGAGCGCGGGGAGGAGAUCGGGCCAGCGUCACCCGACGGGGACAGCCACGAUAUGGGCAGCGAUCUGAUAGGUCCGCGGACGUGCACGCACGUGCAGUGGGAUGUAACGGCUGAAGCUAUUGCUAGACACGAAAACGUCCCAACACAUUAUGUUGCCUUCAUGUUCGUGUAAAAAUUGAGGCGAAAGAGAUAUGAUCCUAACUCCCGUCCCGAUCAACCUGCUAUCCCGCCUGCGUCUCUUCUUCUUCUGUCCGUUGUCACUCUCAAACUGAAGAAACUAGAUGAUUCCCUGCGCGUUGCUACGAAAAUAUUACAAGACAUGUAGGUAUACAAUGUUAUUUCUGCAUCUUAGCGUUUCUUUUGUUAUUUCUGCAGACUCGAGAGGGGAUCACAGUCACAGCGUCGACCGACGGUGACAGCACGGUACGGGCGGCGAUCCAAUCUGGUAGGUGCACGGACGUCCACGUCCAGCUACCAAAGCUACGCUGUUUUAGACACGAAAACGUCCCCACAUUUUUCUGUUGCGUGCGUGGAUAACGAUCCUUCCUGUUCCAGAAGAUGGGUCCAGAAUCUGUGAAUUAAAAUGGAUUCUGGAAGAGAUACGAUCCUGAGUUCCUGACUGACGCUUGUUAGAAAACAUUAUCUGCUGUUCCACCGUCUCUUCUCCGUUUUAAAAAUGAGAUUCGUCGUCGACGUACGUGGAGCACAGCAAAGCUUGCUGCGUGGAGCCCGUCUGCAUCGUCUCUCUGUCUGGUCUCCGGCCCCGCGAAAAGAAAAAUCCCGUCAUCUGUCUCAAACAGAAGCGAGCGAGCGAGCAAGCGGAGGCAUGGGUCCGGUGGGUGUGCGGUCUCCUCCCUGCACUCUAUCCUUAUGAGCAGCGGAUACUCAUUUCUAUGCACACACACGUAUACUUCGAGAGACUGAGCCGACAUAUAAAUAUCAUUUUGUGAUUGACGAAGUCAUCAACAGCGCCUCUUAUUCUAUUAUCCAGCCUCAGUCGCUCGUUCCUCAUCCCAAGCGCGUCUCUCACCCUCAAGCCGUGUUGCUCCGAGUUGGAGAUGAUGGCGCUACAACACCGCCUGUGCUGCCAAGGGGAGAACAAGCUAGUGCUGCAAGCUUGGCCACGUUUUGCGGUGGAGGCAAUUGCCGAAUUCUGCAAGUGUUGGCCACCAGAGAACAAGCUGCACAAUAUCAACCACCGGUGGCCUACCGCAAGGCCCCGCCACAACAUCCCCUAUGUUACGAACUGCCACAAUGUCUCAUGUGCAGUGAGUUAAUGUUGUGGAGGGGCAUCAUCAUGCUGCGAAAAUGAUGUUGAGGAGGAAGAUCGAAUAAUGAGGGUAUGUUGCGGUGACAGCAUCGCUCGUCUUGCAAAAGUCUGCUUGCAAACCUCUUAGCUCAAAAUGGCUCAUGUUGAAAACACUCGUCUUGCAAACCUUCGAGUGCAACAUUGUUCAUGUGCAUAUUUUUUAGCGCAACAUGUCUUUGUUGUAAAAACAGGUCAGCUGGAAGAUGCAGCCCAAAUUGGAUGUCCGUCGUGCGGUGGACCCGAUCCGUGCAUAAGCCGGCCAACACUUAGUAGUCGGCUUAGAAGUUGGCUAAAAAAAAAUAGUAGUCGGCUUAGAUAAUCAACUUCACUCUAAGGAUGCAUGACGUAAAAAAAGGGGUGACAUAGCCCAACCCAAUGACGUAUAGUCGCUCUGAGCAGGCUACGGCUAUGUGGCUCGGCAGAAGACCUCCUUGCGUUGAGGAACUCUUGCCAAAGAAUUGUAACUCUACCUUGAUGGAAUAAACAUCUAUUGAUCUCGCAAAAAAAAUCUAUUGAUCUCGCAAAAAAAAAAUCAACUUUACUCUAAGGACACAUGACGUAAAAAAAGGGGUGACAUUUUCAUGUGUAUAUCGUAGCAUUUUUAAGGGGUGUCCAACUAUACAUCGUACUUUUUUUAUUAUUAUUUUCGAGCAUUAAGCAAAUUUUUUUGAGACAUUUUUGAACAUUAAACAUGGUAUUUUAUUUGUCCACGGGCCAAAGUUUGUAUGGAUUCGUAGACCUGGCCAUGGCCUCACAAGUGACAACAACGGCCCACAGCCCACUUGGGGCGUUAAAACCCCAGGCAACUCUGUGCUCCUUCAUCUUGUGCGGCGGCUGAUUCGGCAGUUGUGGGCGCCGUCGUCACCUGUUGGACGGGAUGCGUCGGAGGAUCGCCGGAAAGGCUGCGGCCACCGGUGACGGCGGAGUAGACCGCCUAGGCGCGCUCCCGGACGAGAUCCUCCAGCAUGCGCUGUCGUUCCUGCCGUCGCGCGACGCCGUGCGCACCUGCGUGCUCGCCCGCCGCUGGCGCCACCUGUGGAAGUCCGCCCCGGCCCUGCGGGUCACCGACGUCGACGCCUUCAGGAGCGCCCGCCACGUCAACGGCUUCGUGAACCACCUCAUCGUCCUCCGCGACCGGACGCCCCUCCGCGAGCGCGAGAUCGCCGUCUAUAAGGAAUACGACGGCGGUGGGUACUACGACAGCAACGGAGAUCGCCUCGAGCACUCCCAGUACAUCGAUCUGUGGGUCAGGUACGCCUUGUCAUGCCAUGCGCGUCUGCUUCGGAUCAGUGACCAUGACCCCAAUGAUCUUGACGCCGGAUACUACGAUUAUAAAAUACGGAGUGUUAUGCUUGACGUUCCCAUCUUGUCCGGGCAUCUUACCACUUUGGAACUCGACGGGGUGGUGCUUUCGAGCGAAUGCUCCCCACCCUCUAGAUUUCUCCAGCUGCCCAAACCUGGAGACUCUAAAGAUGAACCGCUGCUCCAUCCUAUUCUUGGGAGGCGACCGUUCCAUGAAUAUAUCGUCGCAAUCUGUGCGAUGUCUGAGCAUUACACGCUGUGAUUUUGAUCACUUUGUCCGGGCACGUGCCCUCAUUUCUAUCCCAACCCUCGUGCACCUGGACCUGGAGCUGACCGAGGACUGUGGCUUGGUUCCUGCGUUUGAGAGCAUGAUGCCGUCGUUGCUAACAACAUCUAUCAAGCUUGACCGCAGUUGCAACAAGGACGACAUGGGUUGCUCAUUGCUUCUUGGAUGCCUCUCACAUUCCUCUAAUCUAGACCUCAUGGCCGGGCCUCAAGCGGUAUACAUAUAUGUUUUUAUCCACUUAAAUUCUAGCUAGUCUCAUUUGACAUGCUCAUCCCAUAUGUGUUGUGCUUGUGCUUGCCCAGUUUGCUUUCAGGACAGCUUUAAAACGGUGCACCACAUUUAGCAAGCUCAAAAUCUUGUCACUCAAUGAAUGGUGUGUGGAACCUGAUUUUGGACCACUACAUUACUUUCUACGUUGGUCACCAAAUCUUGAGAAGCUCAACAUCCAUCUAUCUAAGGUAUAUUUGGUAUGUUUUGCAAUUAUAAAAUAUUUUGUGCUGUUAAAGUUACAAUUGCAUAGUUCAUUUAUUUGGUAAACUACAUAGCCAUAUCGACAUGUUGAAGAAACAGAGGGAUGCUACGAUUCGGCGGAACCAUUUUUGGCAUCAAAGCAAUUCAGGGUUGUCGAGAUCAAAUGUCGAGCAAAAGAUAAGCUUGUUCACAAAAUUUUGAAGGUCCUGAGUUCCUGUGGAGUACCUGCUGAGCAAAUCAACAUCAAGAAAAUAAAUUGAUCUUCCCACGAUAAAGUCAAAUUAUAGGUCUUCCUAGAUAUUUAAGUUUUUGCAUUCCCAUACCAUGUAUGUGUGAAGUUUAGUAAUGCUUCGUUUAAAUUAAUUGGACAACUAAAUGUGUAAAUGAUAAGCAUCAAGGAUAAAAAAUGCUCUUUAGAUAGUACGUGAAAUUAUCAGUCUUGGUGAUAUUUUAAAAUUCCGCAAUCCUACACUACAAGAAUCUGGUUUUAUGACGAGUUGCGUAACUUUGCCGAGUUCGUUCUAUCGGGAACUUGGCAAACUUUUGUCUGCCGAGUUUGAUUCAAAAUUGAACUCAGCUGUGAUAAGCAACUCGGCAAAGCUUUGACUUUGCCUAGUUCAAAUGGUAAAGGACUCACAAACAAAAAUAACUCGGCAGAAUCUCAAGUUUAUCGAGUUCCAGGCUAAAAAGCCCGGUAAAGUAUGAUAGAUGGGUCCUGUUGUAGAGCAGGCGACAGAGCCAUGAUGGCGGCCUUGUUGGACAUACUAGUGCCGAGUGCCAAACUCGACAAACAAUUUGCCCAAUGCUACUAACGAAGGAACUCGGCUGAUAUUUUGUGGGCAAUAACUGCUGGCACGUGGCUUAUUUCUAUUCGCCUUACUCUGCCAUGUUUAGGAUGAUAAAAUUCGUCAAACCUUAGGGCCAUGUGGCAUUUCCGUUAACGUCCUGUCUAGCCUGACGGUUUUGUUUACCAAGUUUUUUCUGGUAGGAACUCGGCAAACAUUGUUUAAAUAUUCACCGAGUUCGCAAUAGAAAGAACUCGACAAUAUUAAUGAUUGCUGGGCCCGUCCAGCCGAGUGUUGUGCGCCGAGUUUGGCACUCGACGAAGAUUUUGCCAAGUUUAUUAUGGGCUCCGCCGAGUUUCUUUGAAAUCCGCCAAAAGGCCAUUCUAGUAGUGCCAUGUAUAUAGGGCUGCAAGAAAAGCUCGAGGCUCGUGAGCCGCUCGAGAUCGACUUGUUUUUUGACUCGACUCGAGAUCGACUCGAAAAGAAACGAGCUGAGUUUGAACACUUUAUGUAGCUCGACCAAGAAACGAGCCGAUCUUGAGCCAAUGUUGGCUCGCUCGAUUUUAUUUCGAUAGCUCGACAGAAUAUCAUUAUGUUAAAUGAUCAUGCCUUAUAUUAAAUGGAAAUACGAUAAUUUAUUACCAUCUAUGUUGUCCAUAAUUUUUCUCCAUUUUAUUUACCACCGAACACGGAAACUUAACUAAGUGCAGAGAAGAUUUAAGCCUAAUUAUGGCACGUGGUCGACUAUGUGUUAAAUAACCUAUAUUUUUGGCAAAGGUUCCCAGCAUAUUCACCUUAAUUUUUUAGUUUUUCAUCCAUAGAUUCAUAUUUUUUACCAUCUCAUUUAGCUCGAAACUAGCUCGAGAUCGACUUGAGAUCGUUACAAUCUGAGCACGAGUCAUGUUCCACAGCUCGAUCAUGAGCUUCACUUAGUUUGAGCUCGCUCGAAUUUUCAUAUGAGUUGAGCUGAGCCAACUCCAACUCGCUCGAGCUCGACUCGUUUGCAGCCCUACAUGUAUAUUUAUAAAUUUUAGCAAUGUGUACUUAUUAAGCUAAUUGAACUACAAAAUACGUAAAACAUAAGAUAAGACUUUGUAUCAGUUUCAUAGUGUUAAAAAGAGAUGUUCUUGCUUCACAAUAUUUAAAGCAAGUGGUACACCAAUCCAACUAAUCCCCCUUUCCUUUUAUAUUUCUAGAGGAUCAUAUUCAGAUUCAGACUAUUCAUUGUAGUCAGAUGAACAUUUGGACCUUUAGCAAAAUUUCCAGUCGACAAGUCGAGAGUUGAGACCUUCUAAGUUCAAUCCACAAGACUAGAAACAUGAGUGCCAUCAGGAUUUGGUCAGGUACUCAACAUGGAGAUAUCUUAUUGCUUUGUACUUUUGGUUCAAGGCAUAUGCACAUUUAAUUUUCAUGAACAUGUGAUGAUGUUCCACAUUACAUAUCAUGUGUUCUAUUUAUUCACUACCCGUGUUGGUUGGCUUUUGCUGAAGCUAAUACUGCACUUGAGGUGGCAUCGGUGCAGAUUGGGACUAUGCAAAUGUCUAAAUUCCCUUUUCGUUUUAAACCAUCGCCUUGCGAAGUUGUGCAAUAGAGGGGUCCAUCGCAUACGACACGGAUUAAUCAUCUGCAACAGGGCUCUAGAACACAGACGUUUUGGCAAAAGCAAUUGUAUGUGGUGCACAAACCUAUCGCACAUACCAUAGUUAUGACAGGCAUGUGGGAUUGGUCAUCAUUCGCACACGUCUUUUCUGAGUUAAGCACACGUAAUUGGUCAUUGAACCCAAACAAAGAUUCAAUGCAAAACAAUUACGAAAUAUUACAUAUGGCACACGGUUUUCCCAAGGAAACUGCGCGUGGUGUCUCGAGCAUCGCACACGAGUCUUCGAUUCCUAACAUCUGUCAAGUAUGAUAUCAUCGAACAUGGUUCGCGUAUACUUUACGAGUGGGAUUGCGUUUGUCAUCGGACACGGUGGAUUUGAAGCUCCCGUGUGGGAUGAGGUGGAGAGAGUCCCGACCUGAAUGUCGUUUCAAAGGUCGCGCAAAUGCGAGAAAAGAAAAUCUGGCACGUUCUUUGAGUUUGGCAGUUUUUAGUCAAAUUGUUCAUAGGGUGAAUCAGAGAGAAAAUUAGAUAUUACAUCUUAGGUGGACAAUGUUUGCUGUUGGAAAAACUGAUAAUUUCGUGCCUCCCAAAUCUUCCAUAGCACGGUAGCAGGACAAAGGGUUUGAGCUCAGGGGGAAGCUCUGACUUGUGCACACGCGAUGUUGCCCUCAAGAGAAAAGAGAGAAUCUGCUUCACAUGGUUUCUAGAGCUAGUUACCACGAGCGAGAAUGCACUGCAUGCGUGCUAGUAUGACAGUAUGGACCAUCGCCGCAGCCGAGUUUGGUGACGGUGAAGGGCGUCCGGGUCCGGAUGAAUUCGAGCAGCGUGGUCCCAGCCUCCCAGGGGGACGUCGCCAGGCACCUCAUACUGCCGCCCGCGCAAACACCGCCUUCUCCAGCCUCACCGGUCCCAUCGCCACUGCUCGGUGGGCGAGCUAGCCAGAAAUUGUUGAUUGAUGUCUAUAUGAGGAGCUACCCAGCUUNNNNNNNNNNNNNNNNNNNNNNNNNNNNNNNNNNNNNNNNNNNNNNNNNNNNNNNNNNNNNNNNNNNNNNNNNNNNNNNNNNNNNNNNNNNNNNNNNNNNNNNNNNNNNNNNNNNNNNNNNNNNNNNNNNNNNNNNNNNNNNNNNNNNNNNNNNNNNNNNNNNNNNNNNNNNNNNNNNNNNNNNNNNNNNNNNNNNNNNNNNNNNNNNNNNNNNNNNNNNNNNNNNNNNNNNNNNNNNNNNNNNNNNNNNNNNNNNNNNNNNNNNNNNNNNNNNNNNNNNNNNNNNNNNNNNNNNNNNNNNNNNNNNNNNNNNNNNNNNNNNNNNNNNNNNNNNNNNNGGGCUAGUUGAAUGAAUGAUGGUUGCCUAAUCAGGAUGGGGCGCUGCUGACCCCAAUAAAUCACCCGCCUUGUCCCUAAUCUACAAAAGGCCGACUGCUUCUUCUCUGCUGAUGAAGCCAUCGAGGUGGUGGAUCAUCACCGAUGGUGAUGUAGAAGACUGGAUCUUGCUGACUGGGUUUGAGCUUAUCACGGUUGAUAUCGCGGCGGAGAUGCUAGCGCCUGCAACUGCGGUCGAAGGCCGACCGGCAUCGCCAUGCCAUUGCAUCUUCUGGCCGGAAGCGGUCCGAUUUCGUUUCUUCCUGCAAUGCUGCCUUAUAGGAGGCAAUUCCUCUUCGCGUUGGUAGCCAUGGCUUUGAGCUGUCGCGCCUUCGUCACCCCAAGCGGCUUGUUCCUCGGCGACAACGAGGUGAAUCCGGCCUGAAGAGGUUGGACCCGAUCAUGUUUUUGUUUCCUAUGCAAGGUCCUUGUUGCAUAAGUCCAGGGACUUGGUUGUCUGUCUUUGUUUCUUAGGUGUCCUUUUGUAAAAAUGUGUUGUACUCUGGGUUUUAAUGAAUAAAUCUUUUGGAUCUUGGGGAUCCCUCAGCUGCUCAAAAAGAAAAGAAAAGAAAAGAAAGAAUUUGCUUGGGGAGUACAAUUAAAGCAUGGUUAAUAAUAUACCCAACUGCUGGCUAUAACAUGUUACCAUGCUAUCUAUAACCAAUAUAAUAAUAGCUAACUAGCUAACUUGUAGAGUAUUUAGCUACAAGGAGGUAUUACUUUAUUACCACAUGACCCACCUUAUACUUUCAUAAAGUAUCUUGGAGUCUGCGCCAUAGCCAGCUAUAAAUCUACAGCCCUCUUCUUUCUCUUUCCUCUUCUUUCUUCUCAACUCAGUAAAAAAUAUAUUUAAACCCUUAUAGCCCGCCUACGUCACCUCAUUAUAUUUGCUCUUAGCAAGCUAGUAAUGUACUAUACUACUAUGUGCUCGUAAGUUUCUAAAGCUAGCUAGCAUGAGAUUGUUGAGUAUAUCGAGAGCGAGCGCAUGCAGCAUGCACCCCGCGUACUUACCUUGGCUGCAACUGAGCUUGAUGCCGGUGAAGGGCGUGUUGGUCCGGAUGAACUCAAGCAGCGUGGUCCCCGAGUGGACGUCGCGGCCGGCCACAUCCACUACUAGUAAAACCCUGUAGGUAACUACUAAGUAGAGGCGCAGAUUAUUUGGCAUUUGCAACUGCUAUUUAGUAGUAGCGUGGGCAAACAAGUGCGCUACUGAUAGAGCAUAUUAGUAGCAUGGGCACCCAUCGUUACUUCUAAGUGGUCGCACGGGUUGUAAAACCCGUGCUACUACUAAGUUGAUAGUAGUAGAGCAGGGUGUAAACCCCCGCGAUACUGCUAUGAGUAGAUGGGGUCAACUGAUGGGCCUCACUUAGUAGUUGAGUCGUCCGUUCAAUGCGAGGGCCACCUUCUCCAGCCUCACCGGUACCAUCACCACUCGCCUCUCGCGGUCGACCUCGGCUAGAAAUGGUUGAUUGAUGUGCACUGUGAUGUGAGUGACGUGGGAAUGGGUGGGCGAGCUGCUGCUGGCAGCUAUAGGAAGGGAGUUGGAUGAAUGGUGGCCGACCUUGAUCUGUUGCUUAUUUACUUGCGUGACGGCGAGUGCUUAGCUGCCCCGGCGACUCCGAGCGUAGGGAAGGAGAUUGGGCCAGCGUGACCUGACGGGGACAUCGACGAUAUGGGCAGGGAUCUGGUUGGUCCGCGGACGUGCACGCAUGUCGAGUGCGAUAUGUUAGAGUUGUUUCCAAUAUUGUGUACAAGGUAGGUUACAAUUGGACUCUGAGUUGUAUUGUGUUUACAUGGUAUGGAUUCGUGUCUUAGUAGGACAAUUGUAUCCUAGGCCUCCCAUAUAAUGCGGGGUAGACACACAAUGUAAACCUAUGCCAAUAUAACAACACAUGCACACAGGGGAGUCGGCGUCGUGUGCCGACUCCCGGGUGGCCGGUGUGCGGUAUUGUGACGGUGUCACGGGGAGGAGCGACCGUAGUCACGCCCUGGGGAUGUAACCGAGUUCGGUGAACCUCGUUAACGAAUCUCGGUGUCUUGUCUCGUAUGAUUGCUUGGUCCUUAGUAGAUCGAUUGUGUGUCUCAGAGUUAUUGUAACAAGUGGUAUCAGAGCCAGGUUUCGAGGAGGUCACAGAGUUGAUCUGGAGGAGCAAGAACAUCGACAGAAGUCUGCAAUCGUAAUACGAGAUGAAGUCGUACAUCGGCGCAUUACAAUUUGGAGAAAGACGUGACCGAGUUCUAAUAUUCAUGGAAGCAAUCGGAAGAAUCGGCUUGGUUGAUCAAUCGUAGCGACAGUGGUGACGGGAUCCGUAUCGGAUCACAGCACAACAGCAGCAGCGAGGAGCUGGCUGAGCCAGGCGAGACACGGCCGAGUUGGGCGAUGAUUUUGGCUGCGUGGCCGUACACGCUGACCUGUGGUUAAAUGGUUAGAUGGACAAUGGUAUCCCCAGUGGGUUCAAGUCCUGCCGCUCGCAUUUAUCUUGGAUUUAUUUCAGGAUUUCCGGCGAUGCGCGUUCAGUUGGAGGAGACGUUUCCGUCGACUACGAGGCGCCUACGGUGACUUGUAAAAUCUCAAGAUGAUAUGCCAGCUCAGGGGGUGUUUGGUUACAAGGGACUAGACUUGUUUUAGUUCCAGGGACUAAAGAAAAAAGACCCUUCAGUAGAGUCUUUUUCUAGUCCCUUAAGAAAAAGUCUCUCCUGUUUGGUUACAUAGGAACUAAAAGGGACAUUUUCUAGUCUAGUCCCUGUAACUAAAUAAGGCCUCAGUCCCUCGAAGGUGCUCAUAGUGUAGAGUGUGUGUGCGCGCGUGUUCAUAGGAAUGAGUAUAUGCACAUACAUAUAAGCGCGUGCGUCUGUACUGUGUUAAAAAUAAGAAUCAAGAGCAGCUAUACCGUGGAUUUGUUUGGAUACAAAAGAAAAGGAUCGAGUUCUCGUGUGCGUAUGACGUGAAGGGAGGCAACAGCAGAUCGAUUGGGCGAAGAGAGAUAUCCGUUUGAUAUGCAUCCAUCAGGGACUAGCGACAAAGGUUUUGGCAAAGCAAUUAGCUAGCGUUGGAAAGUUGAGCCAAGACCGGAGCUACACGUGAAGACCAAAAGUUUUUUGUUCUUUGGUAGGAAUUUGUUAUUAGUGCACGAGGGUGUACCACAUCAGGUUUUGCUUGUUUACUUGGGCAUCACGUGAGGAGAGCUCGAAUAAUUUUCCAUAGGGUCAGCUGUACAAAGAACCAUGGCGACAACGGGUACCAGAUUUGAGUUGGAGAAGUUGACGGAACUGGAAACCUUGGGUUAUGGUAGACAAGGGUGAAAGAUUUGUUGUCACAUCAGGGAUGCUUGAAAGCGUUGCGGGAAGUCAUGUCAGCUAAAAUUGAAUUAUCAUGUGAUGGAUGGAAAUUUGCUGCAAACGAUUUGGGAGCCUUGAGCGUGUCAUGCAACCGGACAAGUUCAAUGGGGUUGGACUUGACAUUCUGACGGAUCAUCAUGGAUGUCGGUUGGUAUAGAAGACGAUGGUGGGAUCAGCGACGACGACAUAGGAGUGUGAAGCUGAUGGUGACCGACUUCUGGGCGUGGAAACACGUGGGACAUGCCCGAGGGUUUGUGUGGUUUUGACAAGACUAUGGCGCAAGAUUGAUUCUGGACAGUGCACAUGCGAGCUUGAAGUCGAUGGGGCACGGGGUGGACUGCUCAUCUAUCAUGGAGUCAUUUUGAAGGUGGAGUUGAGGUCUAAUGGAAGACUUCACUCGGUGCUAAUUGAGGGGCUCCAACGUAAGAGCUCAAAGAGUCGAAGCCUAUUUCAGCGGGAGAAAGAGAGGUGACACGUAGUUCGGACUGGAGCCCAGUGGUCUGAUGGAAAUGUGAAACUCGUCAUCGGUCGGUGAUGAUCGGUGGUACUCUGCGGUGGGGGUUGAGUGGUGUGGGUUCGUGACACUUGAGACUCGACCGGGACAAUAGAGACUCGACUUGGUAAUAGCGGCGAAGCAUGUGGUUAGCACGGGACAUGGAGACGAACCAGGGCUCUGAUGGUCAUACAUGUGGUGUGACGACUGCGAAUUUGACUCGAAAUGACUACAAGCAACAGUGAAAUUCAUGUGUCGUGAACUAAAACUACGACACUUAGUUCGAACGGAGGGAGUAUUAUUUUUAAACCAAAUCAGGUGAGCUCUCGUUGCCGGAUCGCUGACCUAUUGUCCAGAUGUCCGCCGCGUCAGUUCCCCACCGCUACGGUGCUGCCAGCCACCGCCGUCCAAUUGCUUUGGAUUCGGUUGUGCGUAUGGGCUGGGAACCUUACGGUGUUGUCUGAUGCGUCGUCGGAGCCGGAGUUUUGGUCGGUCGAGGCCGGGCAUGAGCAGCUCCUGAGCAGGAUGGAUGGAUCUAUGGGUAGAUGGAUGUAUGCAUGCAUAUAUGUAUGGAUAUCACUCUGUAAAAAAGAAAAGAAAAAAUAUGUAUGGAUAUCAUGGUCAUGUUGCUCGGGAGUUCAACCUCCUUUUUGGAAAAAAGAGAGGCGAUGCUGAUGAUGAUGACUGUGGCUGAAUUUAUCAUGUCUUGAGCAAUCAAGACAGCUUGGCGAGGUGGGACUAAACAGUGCUAGAAAAUUGGGGUCCGCAUUGGAGUUGCUCUUUAGCCCACCCUUCCCUCUCUUGCAGCCUGUCCAAUUCAUCGCGGAUGUUGGAUGUUCUGUGCCUUGGACGGUCGUUCUGAUGAGUGAUAACCAGGGCAGUUCUCUUACACUGCGAUGGGUAGAUUAUGCAGCAAGAGAUGUGAGUGUUGGGUUUGAAGAUGAAAUGCAAAACUGAGCCCUCUUUUGCUACGCUACAAAACUGAGCCCUGCCGCCUCCUCACCCCCCUCUCCCUCUCUGUCUAAAACAAACCAGUCAAGCUCUCAUUGCCGACUUGCUACCCCAUCAUCCGGGUGGCUGCCACAUCAGUUCCCCGUCUCUACGGUGCUGCCAGUCACUGCCAUUCCAUUGCCUUGGAUUUGGUUGUGGCGUGGGCUGGGAACCGUAAGGCAUUGUCUGAUGCAUCGUCCAAACUGUGAGGUUUGGUCAGCUGACGCCAGGUAUGAGCAGCUCCUGAGACUGAGACUAGUCAUAGUGGGAGUAACUUAGGUUUUAGUUCAAAUUGAACUAAAACCACGACAGUAAUUAUGGAACGGAGGGAGUAGUAACAUGCAUGCCACAUAGGCAAAAAAGAUU